rnacentral:lncRNA from 1 species
ACAACCAUGGCCUGGCCUCAAAUCUAUAUAUCCACUAAAACCUUUUUUUUUUUUAAUUAAACAUAUAAAUUUAUCUGUGUCUCUUUUAUAAAAAUUAAAUUGGUCUCUCAAACGAUGUAGAUGCAUGCCCAUAUGUGCCCUUUGUUCUAUAAAUUAACUUGAAGUGCCCCAUGAUAUGUUGUCUUGCCUGCCUAAUUAAGUAUUCCGCUUGGUGACUUAAUUUGGUACCACAGCAAAGGCUUUUUUGCUCUACCAGCAAACUGUUCUUUUUGCGAAUUAAAUUUAUAUUCUCACACUUACCGGAAUUGAGGUCGCUAACCAUCUCAAUUAAAGCUUUAUUAGUUGCAUUUUUUUUAUUUUAUUAUAGUGUUAUAGUAACUUAGAAGGUGAAAACAAAUUUAAUUCAAUUUUUUUUAUUAACUACAAGUAUUCUCCCUCUAUUAAGUUAACACUGAAUUUUGCUCAUACUAGAUCAGCCAGUUAAAGGGUAAAACGCUUCCAGUAAGUAUUUACUUCAUUCAUACAUAACGAUCGAAUCCUCGACUUAUGAGAAAAAAAUAUUGAACCAUUCAUGCCAACGCUCAUUUAUUUAAAUUCAAUUGUUGUUACAUAAUAGAGAUUAAUAUUUAAGAAAUGAAAAUUUUAUUAUCUUUUAAUUUUAAAUGGUUUGAUAAUAUUACCUAUUACACUACAAUUUUCAAUAAACUAACUCUAAGGGUAAAUUGACUGUACGCUCUAACUUUAUUAAAAUUGAAAUCUUUGGACCAUCCAAAAGGUAGCUUAUAAAAUUACUAAUCAAAAUAAUAAUCUUUUUUUAAUAUUAUAUGUUUAUUAAGUCGUAAUAGAAUGCAAUAUAAUGUCAAAUAAAAUUAUAAUAUAAGUUAGAUACUGCAAAUUUAUUUGAUUUUAUUAUAUAACAUUACCAUAACUAAGACAAUUUUGAUAAAGAAAAUAUUUUAAUUAAACUGAAAUUUUCUAAAAAUAAUAAGUCAAAAUUCAUUAACUUAAAAUUUAACCAAACAAAAUCACUAUUAUGUUUUAAAAUAUUUUUUUUUUUGGAUUAAAAAUUCAAUACUUACAUAAUUUAACACUUCAAUUUUACAUUUAAUUUUUAAUAUUUUUUUAAAAAUAAGGAUAAAAUCAUAGUUGGGUGGGUUUCCAUUGCUAUCAGAAAGAGCAACUAACAAGGUUGAGUUGAUAUUCUAGACCAUAUGACAUAAGUGUUACACUAACAUAUCCAAGCAGUUAAGUUAGGUUUGGUGUUAGUAAAACACUUAAUCAAAAGCUAUAAUGAUUUUUAACUUAAAUUUUUGACUAAUUACAAUCUAUACCUAAUAAUUAAUCUCCAAUUGUUUAAUUGAACUUCCAAUUUGCAUAUCUCCAUGGCAGUCAAUUCCAACCCCAAUACAAGAAGAUUAUAUGAUUGUUCGAGCACAAACGCAAACCCUAAUUUGGAUUUUCAAUUUGACUAAAUUUGUCAAACAAAGACAUUUGAUGUUGAUCAAGGUCACCUUCUUUAUUUUUCUCAUUUGGGUUUUCUUUUUUUUGUUUUGAUUGGGUAUUUGACAGAGUGCAAGCAUGUGGUUGGGGAAAUUUAACAAACUGUGACUUCCUUGUCAUAAAAGAUUGCAAGAAAAUUACAAUGCACUCUCCUUCUUUUGCAGCUACCUGGCUUAACUAAGUCUUUCAACAAACUUAACUGUUUUGAUAGUUGUUAGCUGUUUUAACGGCGUCGAUCUCUUUAUCUAUAUCUCUUACCAAAUAUUUCAAUUUAAUGUGAAGUUAUCAUUUCGUUUUCUUGCAAAAACAACUUUUUAUUAAUUAUAGUGGAAAGGGAACAAGAAAUUACCAUGUAGUACUUGUUUUUGUUUCAAAUUAGUAAUUGAUUACUCUUUUGAAGAGAAUUAAUUAGCAACUAAUUUGAAUUAUAAUUAGUUGAGGAAUAAGAGAUUUAACCCUCUCAUAACAAUGUCCCAACAACCUUUGUUAUUGUCUAUCACAAGAAUUGCUUAAUUAAUAUUUUUUUUUUAUAAAUGAAAAACAAGGAUUAAGAGAGAGUUUUGGAUUAAUUAAAUUAAAGAAGAACAAUGAUACUUCAAUUGCACUCCAUUUAUAUUUAUAGUAAGAACUUAUAUCAUCGAAGUUAUACUAUGUUUCUCUCUCUCUUUUUCUUUUUCUUUUUUAUUUUAUUUUAUUUUAUUUUUAUCUAGGUUGGAUGAUGGGAAGUGUAGUCCAUUCCAUUUCCCUGAAAUCACAUUGCUUAAAAAGAAGCCUCUUAUAAUUUUAGAUUAAAGUUGAUUAAAGGAAUAGGGAUGAUUAGUUUAACCUAAUUAACGAUUAAUUAGUAUAUCUUAAUUUGUCUUUAAAGCUCAAUGGUUCUGUUAAUUUAGAUUCACAUCGGACAUAUUACAAAAGAGGGCAAAACACUUUCUCUCGAGUAUUUCAAAUAGAGGAAGAAGUGAUCAUUAUCAUUUCAUCUCAUUUCUCGGUAUCUUGAAAAUAGAAUUAAAGGGUGAUUAAAAAAUUCAUCUAUUAACUAUUUUAACAAUUCCAUCAAAGUAAUUGUUAAUUAAAAAGAUAAUUAAUUCCUGGGAUUUACUAAACUCCAUGAUAAUUAAUUUAUCAAUAGAAGACUAGCAAAGGAAAAUAAGAUAUUAGUAAAUGAAAUGGCGUGAAUUAAGGAAAUAAUAGAGGAGAAGGAAAGAAAAGAAAUAUAAAAACCUUCCAUGAUUGGCGGUGAUUAGCUAGCCAUGUGAGUUAGGGACAAAUACAACAUCCACACCUAAUCUCAACUUCCUCCAACCCAAAUUCAAUUCAAUUGUAAUACUGAAGAUCGAGGAGGGGAAGAAUUGAAGUUGGUCGGAAGCGUAAACUUUAAAUUACUGACUAAUAAAUUCAGGAAUAGAUGUUUGACCAAAUAGUUCCAUGAAUUAUAUUUUAUGUACAAAUGCCAUUUAUUUCUUGGUAGCCAACCCUCAAGCUUUAAAAAGAAAAUUGGUUUAUUUUUGUUUUUAUUUUUAUUUAGUAUUGUUAGUUGUUGGCAUUUAGAUCAAAUUGUAACUUUAUAAAUUAAAAUAUUUCAUCAUUCAAUCAAAAUCUCCAAAACAUUUAUUCUCUCCAAAGUUUAUAUAUAUAUAGAUAUAAAUCACCGGUAUACGGACCUCGUUACUAUAGCUUUAUGUAAUAGUAAACAUAAAGACAAUACUCUUGAAUAUAUAUAUACAUAUAUAUAAAAUUACUUUCUUAAAAACAUGAUUAAAAAAAAAAUCCAUUCUUUAAUUUUUUUUUGGCUAAUCGUUGAAAUUGGAUGUGUAUAUAAAAAGUAGUGUUGGAUACGGCAUUGUUGGACGCUUAUGUUUUGCCGUUUUGGUCUUAAAUUAAAAGCAUACGGAUCCGUGCAGACAGUGGUACCAUGUGCUCCGCCUUCUUAGUCGCAAAAGAGCACAAAUUUAAAAUCAAUUAGUAUUCUUUUCUUUUGCUAGCAUUAAAAAAAUUAAUUAAUUAAUUAAUUAAUGUGAAAUUUAAUGUCAUUUUCCAUGCCAGAGGAGCAAUCUUUGAGCCAUACAAUCUGAAAUUGAUCAGUCUCAAUGUCACAUGAGCUUUAUGUGUUUGGUGGGGAACAUAUUGCCAAAGAAUUUAACUUUGUUUUUCAUUUUGUUAGACAUGGAACAAAAUAUAUUUAAAGCCAUUUCAUGAUAUCUAAUCUCAUUUAAUUCUCUAUACAAAAUAACUAAAAUAUUAAAAUAAUUUGUAUAAAAAUAAAAGUAACUAUAUAUUUAAUAUAAAUAUUAUACUAAAAUACAUUUUAUUAUAUUACAUUAUUUCAUUAAUUCCUGCUCAUCAAAUAGAAUAUAAAAUAAUUUUAUUAGAUUGUAUUUAGUGAAAUAGAAAGUAAUGGAGUAUAAAAUAUCUUUUAACACUAUUACUAGUGGGAUACAUUCUUUUUACAAGAUAGAAAAAAAAUUUUUUUUUUUUCCUUUUUUGUUCAUGAUAAGGAACUAGACCCCUAAUUUCGCCCUAAAAACUAGCUCAUAGGGAAAAGAUUGAAUCCAACCUUACACACUAGGCCAAGAUGUACUCCGCGGGUGACGUGGGACGCAUCGGUUCAUGGGAGGUAUGAAGAGAAGUUUGACCAUAGACGGUGCAAAUGGUGUACUAUCAAGUGGAGGAACACAAAAAUGGAGUUGACACUUGACAUGCACUAGCACUAUCAUGGAAUAAUGGCACAAAAUAUAUCACAAUUAAUAAGGAAUGACUUCAAGAGAACUUCCAGUGUGUGUUUUGACAUAAGUGACAAAAGGUUAAAAAUGAAAAUAUUGCAAUCAUUUCUCUCAACAUACACCACAUGAUCUUAAAAAGUUCCAAAGCCCACUUUCUCUGGGGUUCUUAAAAAAUAUUUUGUAUUUUUUAUCCAAUAUAUUUACACUAUUAAGCAUUUUUCUUUGGUCUUAUGGUGUAGAGAUACGAUCUUUAGAAUGCCAAUAAAAUUAUAAAAAAAAAAAAAAAAAAAAAGAAGACAAAUAUGUAUAAGCUUGCGAGAGAGACAGAGCGAAACCAGCCAGCUUUCUGGUAGCCAAAAACUGGACCUACGCUACAAAAACAAUGUAGCUUUUUCCCCACUUUAAUACAGUACAAUGCAGAAACAAACUAAAGUAAGCAACGGUGGACCAGAAGAAAAUACCAGCUAGCAUUUGAGGGUCCAUCCAAUCUAGCUUGCGUUUUAAGCCAUUGGUUCCUGUUUUGAGGUUCCUUUUUAAUUUUUAUCAAACGACAUGUUUAAUAAAAGCGACACAAAUGAAAAGGGCAAACGAUAAUUUCAGUGGUUCCCAUAAGCUAUUAAUUUGGGUUUUCAAUUUAGUAGGGUGAUUACAGCUUAAUUUUUUUGAUUAUAGUCAUAAUUACUCAGUUGAAUGAAAUUGCAGCCACUAUUAAUUGCAACAAACUCUCAUGAUUGUGGAUUGUCUUCUCUAAUUUUGACAAGCAGUAUAAGGUUAAUUAAUUUUUCUGUAAUAAUUCGUAAGUAGAAGUCAUAAAUGGAAAUUAAACCUUAUCUAUACAUUAUUAGACUGUGUAAGUUGUAAGAGAUUGAGGGUUGUGUGGACCAAAGUUGAAUUCACUUUAUAUUAUAUGCAAUUGGGAAUGAAAAAUGUAGACCCAUACAUUUUUAUGGGCACUGUCUCUGUUGGAUGUCCUAUCAUAUGGGUUAUUUUUUAACAUGAUUUGGGCUCCAACCUGAAAGCCAGAUUUUGUGAUUGGGACCUUCUCUCCUCAAAUCUUCAAGAACAGGAUGUAGCUUUGCAUCUCUUUUUCAUGCAAUUUUCAAACAAUUGAAAAUGGAAGGUAUUGGUAUUUUUUAACAAAGGCUUAUGUAGUUAAAUAAACAAAGGCUUUAAAUGGUUGGGUUAUGUAGUUAAAAAUCGCGGGAAACAUUUUCUUGGAAUUUGCAUAAAAGAACACUCACCGAGAGAACCGGUAACCUGGGAGAUCCCAUAGUCGUUUUACCGUACUCAAUUAGAAGGACACCUGUCAAUAUCGUACGUUUCAUAAUACAGAAAAUUCGUACGGUCACCGUAAUUUUUUUAUUGCCACCUUCAUCGUUAGCAACGUGGCAAAUAGAAGAAGCGAGUAGUAAUCUUCACCGCCAUCGGCGAGUACGGAUACUUCUGUUCAGAAUAAAUACAGCUGACUUGGCUUCGGUGGUCUUGGUGACGGAAGACGAGCAAGAGACGGGGGUUGAGGUGAUGUGUCAGAGGGGGAUGAUUAGGCACGUGAGUUACCGACACACACGAGACGUGGGCGAGUUAAAGCGUAUAAGGCCUUUAAGCGAGAGAGAGAGAGAGAGAGAGAGUCAGUUAGUGGCGGUUAGAGAGGUGGUGAGGUGGUUAGUGUUUGGGUUAAUUGACUUAACCUGAGUUAAGAAAGGUUAAACAAAGUUAGGCGAGAUUUAGGCCUGUAAGUUCUUUUCGCUAUAAAAGGAUAGCUUCGCCAGAGCUCUCUUUGACUCGUAUCUUUUAUUUUCUUUCUUGAUUUCUUGAUUCUUAGACAGAGAAACAAACAGCGCCAUUUACUCCGAUAAACAGAGAGAGGAAAAGGAAGAAGCAACAAUGGCGGUUUCGCUAAGAGUCUUUUGUACAUGUACAUUGAUGCUUCUAGUUCUGUUUGUUAGUGUAAAAGCUGAUACAAAGAAGACCGAUCUGAAAUCGAGGUACAUUUUCGAUCUUCUUCCAUUUUGAGCUCUUCACGAUCGAUUUUCCACUGAAGCUGUAGAAUUCUCUUGAUUUGUAUUGACUUUUUAUUAAAUUUCUCAAGUGCUCUAUUUUUUACGCUUAAAUUAGUACAUUUUGAUAUAAAUAAAUAAAUCAAUGAUGAUGCUUUAAUUUGGUGUUUUGUUCUCCCAGAUUAGAAGAAACGCGGCGUUUUCAGAGCUCCAACAACUCAUCAAUGGCGGACGGGUGAGUUACAGAGCAGUUAAGCUACUAAUUGGAUCCUAAUUGUACAAUUUGAAAACUGCGAGACCUGGACUGUUGGUUAAUUCAUUUACCUGACAUCCAGAAAACUUUAAGCCGUUGAGAUCGGGAUCCAAAAAAAUCAUUAUCGUUAAUUCUGUUGCAUUAGUUUAGUUUCUCAGGCGACGGUUGCUCAGUUGCUCUGUUAUCAUUUCUGAACGUCAGAGUAAAAAGUUCACAGUGGAAGUAGUUUACUUUUUGAACUAUGACCGUGAUGUUGACCAGAUUAGUUUAAUUUUUCUUGUGUACGAAAAUGUCCUUGAAUUAUAAGGUUUUAUGAGGUUAAUUUAGUCACCUAAACUUAUAUUUUUGAUUAUAAGUUUAUUUUAUUUUAUUUUUUAAUAUUCAGGUCAGGUGAUGCAUGGAACGAGCAUGCUGUAGAGAAUCCGGAUGAGGUUGCUUCAAUGGUUGAUGAGUGAGUUUUUAUGUUUACGUUGAUUAUUAUUUUAAUACACAUCAAAUUCUUUUAAUUAAUAUUCCCAUUUUAAUUAAUUAAUUUUUUUAUUAUAUUUAUGGGUAUCAAUAAAGAGCUUCACAUGCCCAUAUUAUUUAAACUCAUAAAUAAGUAAACCUCUUUUGUUUUUUAAGGUCUAACAUGUCUUCGAUUAUAAUUGAUUAUAUAUAAGUAGAAGAUUGAAACUUAUCAUUAAAGGAAAAAUUCCUUUUGAAAACAACAAAUAUGGUUACAAAUUUUGGUUACAAAAUUGUUAUUUUCGUUAUAAAAAGUUCAUUGCAAAGGUAAAAAUCAUUGCAGGAUUGUUGCGUGUAAUAGCUAACCAAGAUCUUCACAUUUUCUGUGAGGACCUUUUUCCUAACUCUCAGUACCCUUUCCAAAAACCUUCCACAUGUCUCUUUCAACACACAGCAUGUAAAAUUCCGUUCAAAAACCUCAGCCAAAAGAAUUGACACCAAAAUGAUGAGGCUCGUGGCUAGGUCGAUUUUGAGAUUAUUUUUGGGUUUCGAGCCAAAAUUCUCAUAUAAUUUUUUUCUCAUUACGUCCGAUUAAAUUAUAUUAAAUUAUAUUAUAAUAUAUCAAAAAAUAUGUCUUUCGCCUUUGAAGUUUGAAAAUAACAGUAUAUGGUAUCUGAAUUGGAAAAAAAAAAAAGAAGAUAAUAGCCUAAUAUAAUCCCUGGUGAAAAACAACAUCAGGAGAUUUAAAACACAUAUAUAUAGCCUAGUUUUUGGGUUGCUUAUAGGUAGGUAGAUGGUUACUUCUAUCACCCAUAUGGAGUAAUUCAAUAUACUAUUAAUUAUUAUCGAUCCAAGUGGUUAUUAAUGAUAUGAGGAUUCAACCAUGUUCUCUUCUAUGAAAUCUCUACUCUUGCAGUAUCCCUAGCUAACUUUUAAUUCUUCCGCCAGCUUAUGCACAUGCCAUGUCGUGAGAUCCGCGCAUCACGCCCUUAUUUUAUUUCUUGUCUUUUUCUUUCUCCUAUCCAAAUCUAAUUCCAAGUACAUUUAGCUUUACAUGCCUAUACCGACGUGUCUAUGACUUCGCAUUAAGUUUUCUAAAUUAGCUUCAUUUUUUUUUUAAUUGCUUUUGUAAAGCCAUCAUUUGACUGUACAUUUUAACUACUUACUUUCCAUGUUGGCCUUAUACAUCAGAUACCCUGGUUUUCUCGCUUGUAUCUCGCCCUGCAAAUCUUUAUUUUUGAGUGCUAAAAGUUUUAAAGUUUGAACUGACUGUUAACUACGGACAAUUCUACAUAUUCUACUUCUUUAAUUUACUGGAUUAUACAGGAUUUCUAAGGUUGCAAUCCAUUUUGAUAGUGAGAAAUUUUUUCUUGUUGGGUUUUAAUUAUAUACCUCCACGCACAAGCCUACUUUUUAUCAUAAUGUUGCUCUUAUGUAUUAACAGCUACUAAGUUCCAUCAUCCAUUCGACAUGAUUGGUCUCAAGAUCUCAAUUAUGUCAAUUACAACAACGAUAAUAUCUACCAUUGGCUUUUUAUCCCAAUUAGGUGGGGUAGACUGGACAUUAGACAACUAAGUUUUUGCUCCUUUUCUCCAGCCUGUCAAAAGGCAUGAGCUGCAAACCACACACCCAGAUCUAGCUUUCGUACCAUCAGACUGUUUAUCAGAAUUCUUUUCUGAUCUAACAGGUUGUAGCUACCCAUUUGAGCCAAGCUGUUGAAUAUGGUUAAUGUGAAGUCAAUAAAUGACAACGCCAAAUUUUUAUUGAUCACCGACAUGUAAAAGUACCAGUCAGGCCAUUAGUUCAGCAACCUUGCAUUUAUUUCUUGAAUAGUGGUGAAAUAUAUUUAUGGCAUUAAAAGAUCAUAACAAUUCUCCGUAUAGACCGUAUCAAUUCAUGCAUUUGUCCAUCGUCCACAUUGUCACGUGCCCUACAUCACAUCUUGAUGUGGGGACAUGAUGCUUUUUAAGUUUUAACUAGUGAGUGAUUAAUUUUGUCAAAUACCUCAAUAAUUCUAAUACCAAUAAUGACAAUGUCACAUGUUCUUGUGAAUUCUAACAGGAGCGUACGCAACAGUACAGCAAGAAGGAAUUUAGGAUUCUUCUCAUGUGUAACAGGCAAUCCUAUUGAUGAUUGUUGGCGAUGCGACCGCAAUUGGCAAAAAAACAGGAAACGCCUUGCUGAUUGUGGGAUUGGUUUUGGACGCAAUGCCAUUGGUGGUCGUGAUGGAAGAUACUAUGUUGUUAAUGACCCUAGCGAUCAUGAUGCUGUUAAUCCAAGACCUGGAACACUACGCCAUGCUGUUAUUCAAGAAAGACCUUUAUGGAUUGUGUUUAAGAGAGAUAUGGUGAUUACUCUAAAGCAAGAACUUAUUAUGAAUAGUUUUAAGACUAUUGAUGCCCGAGGAGUCAACGUUCAUAUUGCCAAUGGCGCUUGCAUUACAAUCCAAUUUGUCACCAAUGUUAUUAUUCAUGGUCUCCACAUCCACGAUUGCAAGCCUACUGGUAAUGCCAUGGUUCGUAGCUCGCCUACUCAUUAUGGAUGGAGAACAAUGGCUGAUGGAGAUGGAAUUUCCAUUUUUGGAUCGAGUCAUAUUUGGAUUGAUCACAAUUCUCUAUCAAAUUGUGCUGAUGGCCUUAUUGAUGCUAUAAUGGGGUCAACUGCCAUUACCAUUUCCAACAACUACUUCACCCACCACAAUGAGGUUAAUUACAUUACUCUGGCAUCAAUUUAUUUUACUCAUUUGCAUUUUCUCUUUCUGGCAAAAUUUGACUGAAGUACUAAAGAAUGUUUCUUAAACAAUGAACAGGUUAUGUUAUUGGGUCACAGUGACUCCUACACAAGAGAUAAACAAAUGCAAGUAACAAUUGCCUACAACCAUUUUGGAGAGGGUCUUAUCCAGAGAAUGCCAAGGUAAUAUUAAAAUGAAACAAUAUCUCUUUUAUCCCAAAUGAAUGAAUUUUACUGCUGAAGUAAAUCUGACAGGGACAAGUCAUUAACCUCUGCAGGUGUAGGCAUGGGUAUUUCCAUGUGGUGAACAAUGACUAUACACACUGGGAAAUGUAUGCUAUUGGUGGAAGUGCCAAUCCUACCAUUAAUAGCCAGGGGAACAGAUAUCUUGCCCCUAAUAAUGCUUUUGCUAAGGAGGUAAAUAUAUUUUCCCAUGAUAAUGAUAUGAAUGAUGUGAUGGCUAAAUAAUGAAAAGAAAAAGUUAUUAAUUUUCCUUUUUUUUACUGCCAGGUGACAAAAAGAGUCGAGACAGGAAAUAGUGUGUGGAAACACUGGAAUUGGAGAUCAGAAGGAGACCUAUUAUUAAAUGGAGCCUAUUUUACUCCAUCAGGAGCUGGAGCUGCAGCCAGCUACGCUAGAGCUUCGAGUUUAGGAGCAAAAUCCUCUUCCAUGGUUGGUUCUAUUACUUCAAGUGCUGGUGUUCUGUCCUGCCGUAGAGGCCGCCAAUGUUAAUUCUCAAACCCAUCAACAGGAAAAGAAAAUCUACAACAGUAUCCAGAAAAGUUUGCAGCCAUUCUCUGUUCAAUGCCUACUCCUCUGUAUUUGUCCCCUCCAAAAAAAAAAAAAAAAAAAAAAAUUGGCAAGUGUACAUUUACAUUACGGGUGCCAUUUCUGUAACAAUCAGAUACAAAAUCUCCACUUGUCAUUACGCCAUUGAUCGACCUCGGCGUGCUUAAUUUAGAUGCCGCAGUGUUGUUCACAUCUUCAUUUUGUUAAACUCUCUCUAUUCAUCAUAGAGUCAUCAAUUUGUCCAUUUGCUCAGAUUCUGUACUAUAUAAUUUACGAAUUCUGGCAAUUCUAAGUAUUCCAAAAUCAAAUUUAAUUAAAUAUAUUGUUCAGUUACUUUCAUCAUUUUGCCUCUUUAAAUAGUAAUUAUUGAUAUUCACGACAUAUUGUCCUUCCUACCUUAUUGCACGUGACGGCAUAAAGCAUAUUAUGCAAUGAUGCAUUUUUUUUUAACCUUUCUCACUUCCACCUUACGAUGCUAAAACCACACCUAAUUACAGUAAUUAAAGUUUGGUUAUGAGAAAUCCACAUUGGUUGCAUGUGAGGUGGGGACUCAAAAGCCAUGUGAAGCAUUCUUUACCUACAAAACAAUAGCAUUUUCUUUGCCAACCUGUUAGUUGCAGACCAUGUUACAAGUAUGACAUUGUAAGGCUCAGGCAAUUGUCACCUUGCUUGGAAGUUGAAGCCAUGUGGGUGUGGAUUGGGAGAUGCCAAAACACAACACACUUCAUCUUCUCUCUCUCUCUCUCUCUCUCUCUUUGAUUUUAACUUCCAACAGAAAAUGUCUUGUCAAACAAGUUGGUUCAGCAGUAAUUAGAGAGCCCCUAUAAUAAUUAUGAAGAAUUGAAUUGAGAUAGUGUGAAAAUUAGAGCCCAAUUCACAAAACUGGCAUUUCAUACCAAAUCCAUUAAAACAAAUUGAUUGUAUGGAUGUAGUUUUUGCCUUAUCUAUAGCAUUGAUUUGAUUGUACAAAUAAAAAAUGAGAAUAAAUUUUUGGUGGUAGAGAGAGUUCCCAGAGAUGCAAGGAAUAUGUACAGGUUAACGGUAUAUACGUGUCUGUCUGUGCAGGAUGCACUGUCAAGCAUACUGAUAUAGAAGGUAAAUGUUGUUCUAGUACUUCUCUUAUCACUCUUUACCACCAACUAGGCAUAGCCAGUUCAUUCAACCGUCGGUUCAAAUUUUUCAAAAUGUUGAAUCUGAAUCGGUCUUUGAACCGUCGGUUUCGGUUUGAUUCUGGUUUCGGCGCGGUUUCGAUGAACCUCGGUUCUGUUCACGGUUUUUAAUAAUAUAUGUUUUUCUUUUUUUAAAAAUCGGGUUUAAUGUUACAUCUUUCUUUCGUACAUAUUUAUAUGAGUUUAAAAAAUAUAGUUAAAUUUUAUUUUAAAUAAAUUUUAGAAUGCUUAAACUCAUAUAGGAAUAAAAUUAAUUAAUUUUACAAAAUAAUCAAAUAAAUUAUCACUUUAUUUUGUUUAAAUGUUAUUCAUUAAAUAAAUUAUAAGAAAAUUUUGAAAAAUGCUUCAAAAGAAUGUAAUUUGGAACUUAGCAAACAAUUUAAAAGGGUAAAAAAAAAGUUAAAAAUAAUAUAAGUUUAGACUAAAUAUUUCUCUUUUUUUUACCAUUUUACUUUUUAGAUUUUUAACUUUCAUAGUAAAGUGUAUUUUAAAAAAAAUUCUUAAGUAAAGUGUAUCAUGUAGUAUAAUAUUAUUGAGACUUUUAGAAAUGUAUAAAAUAGGCUAAGUGAUUAUCAUUUUGAAAAUAAAAAUAGAAAAUUUCCAGUUUGAACUGGACCGGAAUCGCCGAUUCCGGUUCAUAUUUUAAUAUUCACAUGAACUUUAACUAGCCCUUGAAGAGCCUUUUCCGGUUUAAAAUUUUGAACCGCCGAUUUCAGUCUAGUUCCAGUUUGAACCGAACCGGUGGCCAUGCCUACCACCAACUAGUCCAAGUGGCAGAAAAAAACUAUAAAAAGUUUUAACUGUUCCGUUGAGUUAACUUUUCACGAGAAUUAAGAAAAUAAUUGAAUCACUUCAAUUUUUUUUUUUUUAAAUAAGAGUAAUUGACUCAAUUACCUUUUAAUUAAUAUUUAUUUAUUUGCGACACAAAUCUACAACAGAUAUAUAUAUAUAUAUAUAAAAGAUAAAAUUGGAAUAAAAUAAUUAAUACUGUUUUGAUUUUUUUUUUUAAAAAACUUUCAUCUAAAUAGAAUAAAAAAUAAUUAUAAACUAUAAAAUUUAAUGCAAGAGAGAGAGUAUAAGCCAAUCAAAGUUUCUUAAUUAUCCAUUUCUUUAAAUCUGCUUUCAGUUUCAAAAAAGUUCAUUGCUAAUUGCAAAUUAGUAGUACUCUCUCUGUUAUUUUUAUAUAUAGACAAACUUUUCUUUUUUUUGGUAACAUUGAAAAAAAGUCAAUUUGAAAACCUCAUGUUACUCUUGUCUUAUUCUUUAUGAAAGUUUUAUUAUGGGAGAUUAUUAAGGUAAUGGCAAAUAAAAUUGUAGAAGAGCAUUAAAUCUGAAGGAAAUUUGGUGAUAGAGUUGUUAUUUUUUAAAUUAACAUUGGAAAAAUAAAUAUGAUCUAACUAAGAAAAUGGUGCUUUGAAUGAUAUGAAAUUUAAGUUUUAAAAUGGUAUAAAAUUUAGAAAUGAAGCACAUUUAAAAGUUAUGAUUUUAUACUUUAUCCAUCUUUUGUGAAGCUACCCUAUAUUUAAAUUUUUUGACAAUUACUUAAGUGUAUCGGAAAAUUAUUUGAACAUGAAAUAGUCAUUUUUUUAACGCAACUUAUACAAAGAGAAACCAAUAAUAAGUUUCCCUUAACGGCUAGAAAAUAAAUUUUUUUUUUUUUUUUUUUUUGCACUCAUUUGAUUUUUGGUCCAAUUUAUAAUUUAUGCACACAUUUUAUAGGAUAUAUUAUUGUAUUGUCCAAAUUUGUGAGCAAUCCCGUUUAUAAAUUGGGUCUAAUUUUGUUAAGAAGCCAACGUAUUUACUAAAGUUUCAACUAAGGAUGUAGAAUUGAGUUUCAAAAAUUUAAAUUUUUAUUUCCUAAUCAAAUCUUUUAAUAUCCUUUUUUAAGGAAGACAAUGCAUUUAUUGUGAUAUUCAACCAAGAAACAUUGGUAAAUGUUAUGUUACAUUAUAAAGGAGGAGUUAAUGCGAUAUAGGGGUAUAUUAAGAAACAAUAAAGAAAAAUAGUUAGUUAUAUUAAUUUCUUAAUCUCGGUGAAAAUAUGGUUGUGCCUACAGAGUACCGUAUAAAAUGAAGAUUUCGUAAAACAAUGUCUUUAAUCAUGCAAAUCAUUAUUUUUUCUUUUUUUUUUUUUUUUUUUUUUUUUUUUUGUUAUAAGGGAAUUAUUAUUAUAAAGAAAAUGACUUGUGUACACUAAUGUAUAAGCUCACUCUAUGCAUUAAGCCAAUAAAAAAUAAUUAAUUAGAUCAAACGAGAAUAGUUUUGACUGUACAAUAAAAAACAAAGUAAUAAUUUUUAAAAAGUUCUCUUUUAAUUGAUUUGAUGUAUGAAUGGUCUUAAGGGUGAAAAUAAGCCGAACUGGCUUACGAGCUAUUCGAGUUUAACUCGAAAAAAGUUCGGCUUGAGUCUAAUGAUAUUCAGCUCGAAAGCUUAUCGAGCUUUAUCAAACUUUAUAUAUAAACAUAUAUAAUAUUUAUUUUACAUUUACUCAUGUCUCAAACCUCGAGCCGAGCCUGAGCUUAAUAUUUUUCAAGUUGAACUCGCGCUCAAGCUUAAGUCUAAAAUAUUCGGCUCGACUGGUCUCAUGCAUUGGGUAAAGAUAAAUAUUAUCUUAUUAUAAUUAUUUAGUUAUUGAUGUGAAAACUGUAAUGAAAAUGUGAAAGUAUGAUUUAAUUAGCCUGGAUUCGGCCCAAUUUAUGCAAUCCAAGAUAAUCAAUAUAGCAUGGAUUUGUUUGUGUUCCAAUGGGAUUGCCUUUGCCUAUUCCUAAAUUUCUCACUCAAAUAUAAGAGUUGGGGAUUCAAAAGGUUUCAUAUUAAAUUCCAUUCAUAUCGAGUAUUUAUGAUAAUUCAUAUUAAAUUAUUAAAAAUUAACAAACUCGAGCCAAAUUCAGCUAAUGUAUUAUUCAAAAAUUAAAGAUUAAUAUUUUAAUUUCAUUUAUAUAAAGAAAAAAUAAGGUAGUAGUUUGACUAUUAUAUUUAUAUUUAUGGUGUAAUAGAACUCAAACCAAUCUUAAUCUCUACUUCCAGAGUCAUUUUGACUAAUGAACUCUUCAUUUGUCCCUCUAGAUUCGAUUUUGUCUUAGAAAUUAAAAAAGUAAAUUAAAAAAGUAUUGAAAAUUAAUAAGAAAGUCCUACUCCAAUUAGCAUUCGGUUACCUCUAACGCCCUCAAGAAAUUUCCUCUAAUCAAAUUCUUUAUAUUUAUGGAUUACGAGACCUUUCAGAAUCUUCAAGUGUAUCUAUACAAGAACAACCCAUUCCUUGUCCUCCACUCAACCAUCUACGACCAUUGCCAAACCUGACAAGAACAAGAUCAAGAUCCUUUCUUUCAACCUUCUUGACAAUAUGCCUUUUCGCAUUGGAGAAACUCGACUGUUGUUGUUCAUCAUAGAGGAUGAAAAGAUCGAAGCUAAUAAUGGAUGCAACUCCACUAUCACCUUCAGUAUCAGUUCUGCAUCUACCCACCAUCAGAAACUUAAGAGGGAACCAGACAUCCUGAUGGAAGUCAAUUCCGUUCCGAUCGUUGCAGAUAAUGUACACAUUGAUGCAGAAGAAUUUCUUGGUUGCAGCAACGAUGGAGAGGCUUAUUCAAAGAUUUCUGACUUAUUGGCUUCAUUAUGUAUCAACUCUAAUGAUAAACAGAGAAUUGGUAAUAAUAUAGUCAUGCAGACACGUAUUAUUGCAAGAAAAAACUCUUCUUCUUCUUCAGGUAAUCAUAAGUUGCUGAUAAAUGUGGAGAUGCAACUUAAAACAGUAUAUUGGUGGCAAAGAACAGUUCCAGCAACUUGCUCUUCGAUAGCGAAUUUGGAGCGAGGAAGACUUGGAGAUUUUGUUCUUGAUGCGCCUAGUCAGUGUUCAAUCUGUUUAGACGAGUUUCAGGCUCUGUCACAGAUAAAGCGCAUGCCUUGUUUGCAUAUAUUCCACAGUCAUUGCAUUGAUCAGUGGCUGAGUUUGAGCCAUAAAUGUCCCCUAUGCCGGUUUGAGAUGCCGGCUUCUUGUAUUAAUUUCACGUAUUAAUUUCAUGGAAUAGCAAACUCACAACAUGAAAUCCUGAAGAAAAUAACUCCAGCAUUGCGUAAAUAUCGAUCUAAAUUUCUGCUAAUACAAUCUAAAACUGAUGCUUCUGAUUGUUGUUGAUAUUUUUUAUUGCUGCUAGCUGGACAAAUAUGAGACGGAAAAUUAAAAUUUGUUUUCUAGCUCUAAUUAGGCAGUAAUAUUUUUUAUAAGGAAGCAUUGUUUUGAAUUACAGAGAUGCUAAAGAAAUGAAUUCUCAUAUGGAAAUACAAGGAAGGUAACAUUACAAUCAACAGCUACUACUAUCACCAGUAAAUUUUGAAACAUAGGAGGAGCUAAUUUUUGGGUUGAAAAAGAAAGCUUAGCUUAAUUAAAAAGGGGUACCAAUUUCGCUUCUUGUUUCAGUAGGACUGUACAAAGCAGACCUGUUUCUUGGUCUGUUUUCUUCCAAUUGCUUCACAACUUCAUCCAUAGUAGGCCUGACUGAAGGGACUGGAGCACAGCAUCCCAUUGCGAGUUUCAGUGCCUGAACUAGCCCUUCUUCCAUUGGAUUCCUUAUCCCUUUCAAAAUUUCCACAUCAAAAACCUCCAUUGUUGUUUCCUCCAAAACUGCCACUUUCACCAUCGAAGGCAAAUCCACAAAUUCACCAUUCCUCCCGUUUUUCCCCGGUUUUUUACCGAUCAAAAUCUCGAGCAAAAGUAUUCCAAAUGCGUACACAUCAGUUCUAGAAUUGCAUUUCUUCAUCCGUUGAAGCUCUGGUGCCUUAUACCCAUCAGUUUUUGCAAGUGCCACUAUUUCAUCAGCCACAGAAGGGACCAUUAGCUUGUCAAGCCCGAAUUCUGUAAGCCUAGUAACAAAAAAUUCAUCCACAAGCACAUUUUUGGAUCUCACAUUCCCAUGUGUAAUAGGUGUCUCAAGACCGGUAUGAAGGUAUGCUAAUCCCCUGGCUACGCCCAAUGCAAUCUUGUGCCGCCUAGCCCAGUUCAGUAUUGGUUUUCCUGCUUUUGUUUCUGCAAUUAACAAGACAACAAAGCAAGAGUAAAGAAUAUGUAUUUGAUUCCCAAUUCACACAAUAUGAAUUACAUAGUCUUCGUUUUCUAUUAUGAGCUUCGAGGAACAACACAAUUUAAAGUGUUUGAAUUGCAACAGAUAUUUGUCUUAAAAUUUUAACUCUUUAGUGAUUCAAUAAUGAGGAAAGGCAUUAGUAUAAAAAGGACCCUACUUUAACCAGAGAGAGCAAGCAAUGAUUUUAAUAUAUAUAUAUAUAUAUAUAUAUAUAACAACGACAAAUAAACAAAAUGUAGAGAGAAGAAAAAGAAGGCAUACCAUGUAAGAGAUCAUAAAGAUUUCUGCUUGGAAGAUAGUCAUAUAUGAGUAGCUUCUCUCCCCUCUUCCCCUGGUAGAAAGCUCUCAAAGGAAUCAAAUUUUCAUGCCGAAUCUUCCCUAAUUGCUUUAUCACAGGUAAGCAAGAGCUCCUAUCUUUGCAACUACCUUCCCUCAACAACCUCAAAGCAAUCGUGCCUCCAUCAGCAAGUUUUGCUUUAUAAACUGUCCCAUAAGUAGUCUUUUCCGUUACUUGUCCUGUUGCAUUCAAAACAUCCUCUAAUGUCAAAUGCUCACCACCUUGAAACAAAAUUAGCUUUCCUUCACCGCCACCAGCACCACCAUUUUCUUCAUCGUCUCCUUCCUCUAAUUCAUCUUCACUAUCUUCCCUACAUUUUCUCUUCUUAUUUUGCAUAUACCCAAUUAACAAUGAGGCCAAAACUACAACUCCUGUCAUUAGACCAAUAACAAUACCAGCUAUUGCACCUGAACUCAAUCUUGAACUUCCAUUACAACUUCUUAAAGGCAGCCCACAAAGACUAGGAUCAUUCCCUUCAAAAACCUCUACACCAAAUUUUGAUUCACCAAAAACAGGCAAAACCCCACUAAAAUUAUUAUGUGAAAGAUUCAAUUUUUCAAGAUUUUUUAACACAGUUAAACCCUGAGGAAUUGAACCUGAAAACAUAUUAUUAGAAAGAUCAAGCUCCUUAAGCCCUUCAAAGUGAGUAAAAAAUUCAGGGAAAUUCCCUGAAAAUUUAUUGCUACCCAGAUCAAGAAAUUGCAAAUUCUUGCAAGUAGAGUCAGGCAAUGCAGUUUCAGGAAGAGAGCCAGAGAGUGAAUUAGAAUGAAACUUAAGAGAAACUAAUUUAUCACAUAAAUUCCAAACUGAUGGAGCUAGAACCCCAUUAAGCAUAUUAAAACUCAAAUCAAUAUCAGAAAGUGAAGAACUGUAACCAAGCUCGAGAGGGAUUGUUCCACUUAAUGAGUUAAUGUUAAGAUACAAACUUUGAAGCAUAGAGAACUCACCAAGCUCUCUAGGAAGUGAACCAGUAAGAUUAGCAGAUGGGAGCUGGAGGGAUAACAAGUGCAAAGAUGGGUCUUUAUAAAGUGAAAGAUUAGUCCAUUCUGGUGCAGAAAGAUCACUACAAGAAAGAGGGGACCCAUUGGAGAAUACCCAUUUGAGACCUCUCCAUUGGCAAAGAGGAAUAGACGAGUUCCAUGAGGAAAGUAAAAGAUUUUCAGUGUUACCUUGUAGUGAAGCUUUGAUCUUUCCAAGUAGAAGUUCAACAUCUGUAGAAGGAGGAGGAGGAGGAGGAGGAGGAUUUAAGGACGAGGAUUGAGUGAGUGAAACAGUAGUAAAGGAUAUGGUAAUGAAGGUGCAGAAAAUGUAAGAAGAGUAUAGUUUCAAAACAGCCAUGAAUGAAGUAACAAGGUGCAGAGAAAGAGAAAGGGAGAGUCAGAGAGAUACUUAACAAUGUGGUCUUUGUGUAGUUUUAUGAGAGGUUUUUCUUUUUGGGAAAACUGACUGAGUGUUGACUAUAAGUGAUAUUGUUUUGUCUAAUGACUCUUUCUCCAUUAUAUCACCUUGACUGAAAUGGCAACUCACUCACUUUGCUCACUUUAUUUAUUUAAAAUAUAAAAUACAAAAACUUUAAAUGUAAAUGAAUUAUUUGACAUUCAUUUAAAGUCUGAGAAAACUAUUUAAUUUUAAUCUAAUAAUAUUACAAAAUAUUUUUUAAGAAAUUAAAAAAAUUUCUAGAACUGUAAAAUUUAUGCACUUGUCCUACAUUACUGGUUCAAUUCAUAAAUACCGUGAGAUAUCUAAAAGAUAAUCAUUCAAAUAGCUGUAAGAUGAUCCAACGGUGGAAACACUAUAAAAUGCUGCACGUUAAAGUACAAGAAUACUACACCUGCAUGGUAAGUUGAAACUAUAAAAUAUAGAAAUAAUUGUGCUUGGUUUCUAUAUUUAACAAUAUUUAAAUAAUUAAUAAUAAUUGAAAUGCACGCUCUGAUCCUUUGGAAUUGCCCAUUUUUGCAAAUCUUUUCCCCUUUGCUUUGCACUCUUCGCAAAAGAUUGCUACGCAGGACGCCACCAAGUCUUGUCCUUUCAUGGAUCAAAUGUAUGCGCAGGUCCAUUAUAUGUUUACCGCUCCUUUGCUCAUAGCCCUACACGUGUGACGAUCGUUUAGCUAAUAGCAUUGACUCACAGAAGCUGAAUGAGUUUUUUGAAUUUGACGAUGGUGAUGAGUACACGGAAAAAUAUCGAAUUGUGACUGGGACCCAUAUGCCUGUGGGUCAGAGUACAAAAGCAAAACUCAUGAAGGAAAAGAAAAAGGUGAAUCUAUGUCUACUGCUUAGACAUAAAGUGGGGCCACAGGAUAACAUGUUCAAAAAGUUUACUUCUUUGUUUUUCUAAAAAAAAAAAUUAAUUAAUUAAUUAAUUAAUAUAUUUAUUUGUAUGAUACCUUCAAAACUUAGCUUAGCUCCCCAAACUUUCCAAUGUUGUCUUUUUUUUACUCAUUUUAUUUGAGCAUUUAAACUAUGGGUAUUAGUGUCAACUAAUAAUUAUGGAUAAUUCUACAUAUUUUUGGAUUAUACAAUAAUGCUAAUUAUUAAAACUAUUUUCAAAACUUAGUUUUUUUUAAUUAUAAUCAAAUGGAUCGCGUUAAUAUUAUAGAUUAUACAAUAAUUAUUAAAAUUAUUUUUUAUCAACUCUUUAUUGCAUUUGUGCACGAAACAAUAUUAAAGGUAUAUGUUAAAAUUGAAAUAUCCACUUGUAAAAUAUAUUCAGUUCACCGUUAAAAAUAACAUAUAAUACCUUACAGGGCUAAUAGUUUGUACUUUGUAUUAGAAAAAAAGAAAAACCUAUUGGGUACUAAACCUAGUUGUCUCUUUUUUUUUUUUUUUUUUUUUUUUUGUUAGAUUUUGUUUCUAAACCACCGCUAACUAUCUGUUUUGAUCGGCGUUAAUUUGUUUCUAACCCACCGCUAACUAUCUGUUUUGAUCGGCGUUAAUUUCUUUCCAUCCCUUUCUCGUUUUUCUUUAUUUUAUUUAGUUUUCUUUUUAAUAAUUUUCAAAUCUACGAUCGUUUGGAAUGAAAUUUGAAUUUAGUCUCUCAAAUAAUAAAUUUUGAGUAUUUUUUGUACCAUUUUAGUGGGGUUAUUAGUUUCUCUCAUUUCAUGGGAUUGUUCCUCUGUAUUGAAGAGUUUUUAUAUAGAUAUUUUAUUUCUUGGACAGUUCGAAAGACAUGAUGGAUGGUUGAUUGUUUGUGGUUGGAGAGUUUAGAUCUUCAAAUUCAGAUUUUUUUUUUUUUUAUCAAUGGAGCCUGGUAGGGCAUGUUCCUCCAUUAAAAUUUGAUGUAUUAAACUCUUCUCAGAGUGUCAGUUGUAAUAAGUUUUCGAAAAAACAAUGUUCGGGACAUUGUGGAUGGUUUCUUUUAUCGUCCUAUUUAAAAAUGGACCAAUUUUUACCCGGAAUAUUAAUAUCUUCUGCCAAAAUUAAGAACAUCUCCAAACAGAAGAUUUCAAUUUUUUAUAUUUGUAUUUCUUAUUCCUAUAGAAAUAUUAUGACGUACUUAAUUUAUAUUCAUUAUUAAUAAAUUAUUAUUAUUAUUUUUUUAAAAAUAGUUUGUACUUUGUACUGCUUCACCUUACAUUUCCUGUUAUACAAAGUCAAAAAGCAUUCCUACUUUCCAUGUAAAAUAAAUAAGUAACCAAUAUUCCUAAUUUCAUAUAUGGUUUUUAAAUUCAAAAUUUUAGAAUUUAACUAUUAAUUCCAGAAUUAGUAACAUGUAAAUAUUUACUUUAUCUUGAAUCUCAAAUAUGGAUAUUUGCUUUUCCUUGAAAAAAUUAUUUUUUGCUAAAAUUAUAAUUUCUAGGAAGAAAUAAUUCCUUUUAUAUAAAAUUGUAAUAAUUUUGAAAGUGCAAUGAGAGAGACAAAAACAAAUUCACUUUGGAAUAUAUAUAAUUGGGAAUAAUUUUUUAUUUUUGUUCUUCUAUGGGACCUCCUAUGGCAAUUAUGCCCUUUUUAAGGGAAAGCCUAUAUGGCCCUGGCCCUGUGCAUAAAAAGAAUAGUCCUUGUUUUUUUAAGGACAUACCAUGGGAAUAUAGGGCAAGUGGUUGAAUUUUUAAUUAUAAUGGAAUUAUAGUGGGUGUUUAGGUAGGAUAUGGCAUGUUUGUGUUUGCCAUUUUCACUGUUAUACCUCACGCCACUCUAACCCUAAUUAAUCUUCUCUAAUCAUUUUACUAAAUCAUUAAUAGUGUCAAAAGAUCCUUUUACAUCCCAUUAUUAUAAUUUUCAAACUAAGGUGAAAAUGUCUUAUAAUUUAUUUAAUCUUCCAUAAAAAAAAUCUAAAAUCAAUUAUAUUAAUAUUUUCGUCAUUAUUAUUAUUAUUGUGGAAUAUAUCCGGGAAAUAUUAUCUUUUCAGAUUUUACUUGAAUACCACCCUUUAUUUAAAUGUAGAAAAUCGUGUGCCGAGAAAUUCCAUAUGUUUUGAUGUGAAAAUUUCAAAUAAAUGUACAAUAAUUUCCACAUAAUUUUACAGUAUUUUAAUGGAAAUUUUUCCUAAAUUCAUCAAAAGAUUUUAAAAAGAAAGAGUUGAGUAGCAACAUGGGAUUUGAAAACAAAUCCACCUGAAGUUAUAAAGUAAUUAUUAUCUACACUGAGGAUUACAAAACCAACUGGAAUUUUCUUAUUGUUGCAUGGAACUUUGUUUGGCAUGAUACAAAGAAACUAUCAUUACUUUCUUAGUUUUGGCACCUACAAAGACAUUCAUCAUUUUAAAGAUAUAACAAAAGCAUCGACAAGACUUCGGUGGAAAAGCAGUCCCAGUCCUAAUCCCAGCCGUAUAAUAUUUGGCUAUUUGCCAUAACCGAAAGGUAAUAUUCCAGGAAAUUCCAUAACAUUAUCAUUGUGGUACUUACAAUCUGUUUGAAAAAAUUAAAUGUUUUCGCAGCGGUUUUUAGUAGUUAGCUUUUUAUAAAAUAUUAAAAAAUUAAACGUUAAGGGAUUAAUAUUUUAUAAAACGCUACUUUAAUCUCUCGAAAUUAAUUUAAAAUAAAUGCUAAAACCUGCUUUAAAAAAUUAUUGCCAAAAACAGACAAUUGGGCCUUGGCCAUUUCAAAUUUUGGAUUAUGGCAAUAAUUUGGGUGAAUAAGCUAGGCUAGCUCUAUAAAGGGCCGGGCUGGAAGCUGAGAAGCUGGCCUUAAUUGGGCAAGUUGGCAAUUCUGGAGGCAAUAGCAUCUGGACCAAGUACACUACCAGGAAAAUAUUGUGGUAAAUCUACAAACAAACUUGUGGUAAAUCUAUAAACCCUGCCAAUGAAAAGAGGCAAGACAAGAAGCUACCAAUAGUCCAUACAAGAACAUACUCCUUUCUCAAAAUGGUGGAAACGCUUCCGGUCCCUAACAAUAAUCUUACGCUUAUAUAUCUCUGAAAUUAGCUUAAUCGAAGAGUGACAAUCUUCACAAACACGAAGGUUCUUAACAAUCCGGAGUGGUGUUUGGGGUCUUGUACUGAUUAAACCAAAGGCAAUAGCAAUCCUCUCACUAUGAUAGUGUAAUGCACUUUCUUUUUUUUCUUCAUCCAUAUUGAGCAAGACUUGUGUAAUAUUCGGCCUGUAACCUGCAGAUCUUAUUCGGUUCGAAAUUUCCUCCAACAUUGAACGGAUUUCUUUUGCUCUAGGAUGGGAUUCAUCUUCUACUAGGAAUUCAUGAAUCACCCCAUCAAUCUCAAUCCAACUACAACCGGGAUCUUUCCUUACAUCCAUUUCCUUCAUUUUUAGCCUUACUUCUACAACUCCAACCCAAUUUCCCCUAGAGGCAAAUAUAUUGGAGAGAGCUACAUAAGAUCCACUGUCAUGUGGAAACAACUUCAUCAAAGUCCUUGCAACACGUUCACCCAUCUUUACGUUUCCAUGCAUUUUACAAGCACCAAGUAAUGCUUUCCAUAUUACAUCAUCCGGUCGAAUAGGCAUGUUUAGGACAAGUUGUUCAGCUUCUUCCAAAAGCCCAGCACGACCUAGAAGAUCAACCAUGCAUCCAUAAUGUUCGACCCUAGGUUCUAUACCAACAACCUUAACCAUAUGAUUGAAUAAUGAACGACCCUCUUCAAUUAAACCAGCAUGGCUACAAGCACUCAAUAAACCGAUAUACACAACAUCAGUAGGAGUUACACCUGCUUGUUGCAUCUUUCUGUAAUAAUCAAGAGCAUCAUUUGCUCGACCGUGCAUGGCAAGCCCACCAAUUAUAGCACUCCAAGUAAUAGCAUUCUUUUUAUUUUCUAUCUUUUCAAAUACUUGAAUUGCCUUCUCAACGCUCCCACACUUUGCAUACAUAUCAAUUACAGCAGAACCAAGCACAUCAUCAAUCUCAAUUUCAUUCUUCUCUGCAUACAAAUGCACCCAUUUACCUAAUUCUAGUGCACCCAAGCGCGAAAUAGCAGGAAGAACACUAACCAAAGUGAUAUAAUUUGGGGACACAUCUCCCAUUUGCAUAUCAUGAAAGACAUCCAUUGCCUCCUUAAAAAACCCAUUUUGUGCAUACCCCGAAAUCAUUACAUUCCAUGACACAACACUUCUUUGAGGCAUUUUAUUGAACAACUUCCUGGAAGCUCCAAUGUCGCCAAGCCUUACAAAUCCAUCGAUCAUCACAUUCCAUAAGACAACAACACCCUCUUGCAUUCUCUUAUUUCUCACUAAUUUAGUGGAAUUAUUAUCAAAAUGAGAAACAUAAUUACUGAACAAUAAAUAAGCAUCCUCCAUAACUCCACACAUGGCGUACAUUCUAACAAGAUUGCUAGCAACAAAUUCAUCAUUAUCCAAUCCUAAUUUAACAACAAACCCAUGAAUCUCUUUUCCUUCUUGAAUCCUUCCCAUUUUAGCACAUGCUUUUAAAACAGAAGGGAAAGUGAAUCUAUUGGGUUCUACAAGACCUUCACUGCACAUCUGACCAAAAAAACCCAAUGCCUCUAAUGGGUUCUUGUAAUCAUCAUCAUCAGUUUCGGCAAAAGCUCUGAUGAUUGUGUUCCAAGAAAAGCAAUUGGGAUUAUUCAUUUGGGUAAAAAACUUACGGGCGUAUUUGAGGUCCCGGCGGUCGGAGACGGACAGAAAUUUCAGAAUUUCGGCUGCAGCUAGAGGAUCGCCGAUAAGGCCAGUUUUGAUGAAGUGGGCGUGAAUUUGUUUCAGUUGUUUGAUGGAUUUGCAUCUUGCAAUUUGUGGGAAGAGUGAAGAAGGGUGAGUUGGUCGAGUUGCGGUGGUCGGUUCACAUAUUAAGUUCAUUGGCUCGUAAAUUGAAUGGAUAAUGUAUGCAAUAUACUAUAUAGAUUUCUUUUUGAGAUGGAGGAAACUGAUUUUCAGUUAUGGCUGGAUUUUCCACCAAUAAAACUAUGCUGCGUCAACUUCUAACUGUAUUUUAAGCGACCUGUCGUCGGAUGACCCAGAUGAAAUGCAUGAAGCGUUCCUAUCAUUUUCUAUAAGUAAGGCGUUGGAGUGCAUCUUUAGCUUAUGUCGUUCAACUAUAAACGUAAAGUAAAUAACUCGAGCAAACACAAUUAUAACCCGAAAAUAAUUGUAUCACAUCAUGAAUUAACUUGCCAGCUCAUUAAUAAUAUGCUUAAUACAAAUAUAUAAACCCAUAUAGAUUCAGAAAAUUAGCCUAUUCAAUUUAAACUUGAGAGUAGAUAUUUAAUAAUUCGGUUCAAAUUGAAUAAACUAAAUUUUUUUAAAAGAAAUCAAAUAAAAUAAAAUUGUGUAUAGAAUUAAACUGAAAUUAAUUAGUUUAGCUCACUUCAUUCGAUUCAUUUUUUGACUUUCUUGACUUUUAAAUAUUUUUAAAUACUGAAACGAAUUUAACUUUUUUCAAUUUUUUUAAAGAAAAUGAAACUAAAUCUAAUAAUUUUAAUUAGCAAAUGAAAGCAUGCCUGCAUAAUAUUCAUCAUCUUUCGUCAUGGUAACUCUUAGCAUCAAUACAAAGUGAAAUAAAGAGAAUAUAUAACUAUUCUUUUAGGAAUGAAUAAUGGAUGAGGUCUAGAGUUGAUUUACCAAAAACAAGAAAUCUAAAUAUAUUAAAUAUACUUUCAAUUUAAUUUUCAAAAAAAAUAAAUUGUUAGUAAGAUAACCAGCACUUACGGUGAGCCACCUUUUCAAUUUACGGGAAAUACAUUUUGUUGAUGGAGAAAAAACCUUUAAUCUCUAAAAGCUUAGAAAAGAUUACACCUCUUGAUUAUAUAAUAAACAAAAAUUGUUAGUGAGAUAUGAAUUUCAACUCUAACGAAGCUUAAACAUGAAUUGAGAAUUGGAAAAGUUAUUUAAUAGGACGCAGCAGAAUCAAGCAACAGGAGAAGAAAAACCAGGUGAAAUGAAGUCCAAAACCACAGCCAUGUUGCCAACUUGCCACCCAAAAGAUCUCUUUCCUGGGUGCCAUUAGUUCAUGGUUUUUUUGACAAAAAUGUUCAGAUUCUUUGAUUUUUAUUAAGCAGCUGCCUAAGAUGAGCUUUGACAUUGAGGCACUCAUUCAUUGGUUUUGAUUAUUGGGGUUGAGAAAAAAAACAAAAAAAAUAAAAUCCGUACUUUUGUUUUGAAUUAUUGUUUCCAUAUGACUAUGUGCACGUGUCACAGGCUAAAAGCUUUAACGCCAUACUUUAUUAAUAAGCUGCAAAAACAGAGCUUUGGCACUCAUUUUCCUCCUAUUAGAGUCUCUUAUUUGAGUUUUAAAACAAGCAAAGCUCGUUCCAUCCAUUAUUCUCCAAUUGAAUCAGCCAUGUCAAGCACUGCUGGUCUUGUUAUUCCCUGCAAAGGUCUUUAAUUUAUUAAGAAUAUUACUAGUUACUGGCUGUUUCAGAUUUCUUGACUUAAAUCCUUUCUUUUUAUAUAUGGGUUUUUUUUUUUACUCAUUUCUUGACUUGGGUAUUGUUUAGUUUUUAAAGAAUGUUAUGUUUGUGUUUAUGCAUAUUUUAUAGCUGCGGUGGCAUGGGAGGCAGGCAAGCCAUUGGUGAUCGAGCAAGUGGAGGUAGCUCCACCGCAGGCCUUGGAAGUGAGGAUCAAAAUUAAAUAUACUUCUCUUUGCCAUACUGAUCUCUACUUCUGGGAAGCCAAGGUAUAAUAUAUGGUCUAAUACUUUCUUAAACUAUUAUUUGUUAUGAAUUAAUUCAAAAUUUUGAAUUUUGGGUCUUAACUUUCAGGGUCAGACGCCACUGUUUCCUCGUAUAUUUGGACAUGAAGCAUCUGGGUAUGUUUCUCCUCUUCUUUACAAGUUUACAAGACUGUGGCAUAAGUGAUUCUUUCUUUCUUAUCUCUUCUUUUGAUAAAGUUUUGUUUUAUAAUUCUUAAAGCUGUAAAUCUAUAUCUAAUAAUCUAAAUCUCUGCUUCGAACUAUAUACUAUGCAGGUAAACAAAGAUUAUAUAUUUAUAAUCCUAAAAAGUCAUUAAAAUUGAAUCUUAUUUUAGUUUCUCAAGUCAUUAGUGUUUCAAACGUAGUAAAUAAUUAACUUCCAUUAUAUGUGUAUAAUUAUGUUCCAAUGUUACAAGCCUUAAAAUGCUUCCAUUAUUUCGAUUAUCCUCGCAGAAUUGUAGAGAGUGUCGGGGGAGGCGUAACAGACCUCGAGGCUGGGGAUCAUGUUCUUCCAGUAUUUACUGGGGAAUGUGGAGAAUGUGAGCACUGUAAGUCUGAGGAGAGUAACAUGUGUGACUUGCUGAGAAUAAACACUGAUAGGGGUUUCAUGCUUAAUGAUGGAAAGUCUCGGUUCUCGAUUGAUGGGGUGCCAAUAAACCAUUUUGUUGGCACUUCUACAUUUAGUGAAUACACAGUUGUUCAUAGAGGAUCUCUUGCAAAGAUCAAUCCCUUAGCUCCUUUGGAUAAAGUCUGCAUUCUUAGUUGUGGUAUCUCAACAGGUUGUGCUUUCACUUCUUCGCUAAUAGCUAAAUCCUCAACUUUUCUCCCCUUUUAAUCUCAAAUAGGAUUCUGAAAAGAAAAAAUCUUUCCUAAUUUCACAUCAGGACUUGGUGCGACAUUGAAUGUGGCUAAACCAAAGAAAGGUUCCUCAGUUGCUGUUUUCGGAUUAGGAGCUGUAGGCCUAGCAGUAAGUUCUAUGCAGAGCUUCAUAGCAAUUUGUUCAUUUUGUAACAGGUUAGAGGUUACAUUAAUCAACAAAUUAGAAAUUUUCUCCUUAUGUUCCUUUAAAUCUGCUUAGGCUGCAGAAGGUGCAAGAAUUGCUGGAGCAUCUAGGAUCAUUGGGGUGGAUUUGAACCCAAAGAGGUUUGAAGAAGGUAGAAUGUUCUUGUAUUAACAAAUCCCAUCUGCUACUUAGUUUAAUACAAAUAUGAUCAAUAUAGGUGUAACUGAUAUUUUUCGUAACUCAGCCAAGAAGUUUGGAGUAACUGAAUUUGUGAACCCGAAGGAUCAUGACCGUCCAGUUCAACAGAUAAUUGCAGAGAUGACAAAUGGUGGAGUAGACAGGAGUGUGGAGUGCACAGGGCACAUUGACGCCAUGGUUGCAGCUUUUGAAUGUGUUCAUGAUGUAAGCUUUUCAAUUUUUAAGCAAUGACCUAAACUAAAAGUCUUCUUAUUCAUAGUUCUACUUGGCAUUGUAGUUUGAGUUUAAUUGAUAAAAGUACCAUGCCUAAAAUGUUGUUAGAGGUAAUUAAAGUUUACUUUUAAAGUGAAAUUCACAUAUUGUAGUCAUAAAAGCCUAUUCACCGUUAGUAAGAAUCAGCAGUCUUAAUAUUUUGUAUGUCAUUUAACAGAUUUAUAGCAGAAUAAUAUGGAAUUUGCAUGACCAUGUAGGGAUGGGGGGUGGCUGUGCUCGUCGGGGUACCGAACAAAGAAGCAGUUUUUAUGACCAAGCCAAUCAAUUUGCUUAAUGAAAGAACUCUAAAAGGAACUUUCUUUGGGAACUAUAAACCGCGAACCGAUCUCCCAUCUGUUGUUGACAUGUAUAUGAACAAGGUGAUCUUAUAUGUUAUAGCUUCUUGUAAUUGUAGGUUUUUUAUAUAUGUUCUUAUAUUUCACUAACCAUUAACCCAUGAAUUACACUGGAUUAAAUUUGCUGCAGAAACUGGAAUUGGACAAGUUUAUAACUCAUAGGGUUCCUUUUUCUGACAUCAAUAAGGCUUUUGACUUGAUGCUGAAAGGGGAAGGCUUGAGGUGCAUUAUUAACAUGGAAGAGUAGUUUCUAUUGUUGUGAACCUUAUGAUAAAUAAUAAAAAAAGUAUGGCACUUGAGAAAUAAUUUGACAUAAAUAUGAAACUAUUGUAUAAUUUCUCCUUCUCUAAUAAGAAAUUUCCAUCUACUGAUUAUAUCUUCUAUCCGAUAAUAUUUUAAAAAAUAACUAUAAGGCAUGCAUAAAACAUGGAAAUUGAUCAUUCCUGCUGCUAUUACUUGUAUUUCUCCAUUAUUCUUCUUGCUUCUUCUAAUGGGUCAUCGGACGAAUUUCCACCUCCACCAUCUCUUGGCCCUUGAUCUUUGUUCAAGGCGAUGAAGAUGAAAUAUACGAACCCCAUUGUGGCCUGAGCAUCAAACAGAAAGCAACUACUUACCAUAAAAUAAAUAAAUAAGAUUCAUUAAUUAAAACUAACGUCUACUCUCAAGUUUAACAAGAAUGCAGAUCUAUGUACAAAGUUCAUUAAAUCCUUCCUGAGCAGGUGCAUGAAAGAUGAAGAUGCGCAUUACAUGGGCAGAGGAGGCAAUUGAUUUUCCAUUCUUACAUCCAUGAAUUAUGGUUGAUAAUUUUUGAACUAUUACAGAUUGAUUCUUGCAAAUAGAAUAAAACAGCAAAACAUACCAGUGCAAAUAAAGCUGUAGACAGAAAUGACUUGAGCACAAAGAGUGAAAUGGUCAGUGCAGCAAUUGUCACAGAGAUCCUUGCAAUUGGUCUUGGUACAGAGUCCUAGCAACAAACGGUAAAAGAAAUGCAUAUAUAUCGUUUAAAUCAUCCCAAGAAAGAAAUCAAUUAAAGAAAGGAGCCAAAUUGAACUUACAGGCACCAGAUUUGUUCCUGCCUCAAUGCCAUCUUUUCCAACCUUCAAUACUGUUUGAACAACUAUAUUGCAGAAUCCAAAUACCCAUUAGUAAUGCAAAACACACCGCUCUUUUUUGUAUGUUGCUUAACUUAGCAGCAAUCCUAACCAGUAAACCAUCAAAAACCACCAAAAAUUAACAAUUAAAUCUGAAAAUUACAAAUUUUGAAACACCAAUCAGCUGAAAUUUUAAAGUAAUAACAAAUAAACAUCUAAAUACAAUUAUUAACCAAACCAAUCAUGGAAUUUCGUAAUGUCACAAACACUGGGAAUCAAAAAACCAAAACAAUUCAAGUAGACAAAAACGAGCUCAAAACCAAAAAGAAGUAAAAUUAAAGCCCCAAAAUGUCAUACCUUUAACGAAAUUAAACUGUGCGGCAAAGACAACCGGAAGAGACCUGGGAUUGCGCGGUUUGGACCUCAGAAUUUGCAAUUUUGGAAGUAGAGGCUGAUUCUUCAGUCGUAGAAAGGAAUUAGAGAAAAGAAACUGUGAAUUGAGAGUUAGGGUUUGGAAUUUGCAACGUUUUGGAGAGUAGGAGAGUGGAAUGGAGCAUAAGCUAUCAACAAUGGCCGACGAAGCCAUACACGCUUCCUGUUCUUUCAAAUUAUACGGUCGUUUAUGAUUAUAGGAUCGUCAUCAAUGAACAAAAACAGAGAAGAAAUUAAGCAGGCCAGACAGCGAUGGUGAGCGAAGAAGAGAGAGCAGUAGAGAACCAGCUGGAUCUAAAACAAAGGGCCCAUAUAAGAUCAGCUCAGCCCAACUUAACAAUGUCCUGGACUCUUGUAAUUUGUAAGUUUAUAUUCUAGUAGUUUGAAGUCAUUGACUACUAAUAAACAAUGGCAAUAAACAUUAAAGGCAAUGUUAUAUUAAUUAAUUUGAAUCCAGAAGAAAGGAAUCCCUCAUGUUUUGUCCAUAGAAAAAGCUAAUAUUGUUGGAAAUUUUUAUUUAGGCUUUGACAAAACAAAAUGUGUAAAGAUUCCAAAGUGGGGAAUUCCCAAGGGUCAUGUCCUAGAGCUCUGGGCCAUUUCUAAAAAUUGUUUGAUUUUAUAUAAAUAAUCUUAUAUCCAUGUUGGUUCAAUUAUAUGCUAUGAGGGCAUACUCACAUACUCACAUUUAACAAAUACUACAAGUUAAUGUAAGUUUGAGUAAGAAGUUAGGUAGGGAAUAGGUUCUUAGCUUCCACAAUCACCAUAGCUAUACUUUACAUUUCCAAAGAUCCUUCAAUGCUUUAAAAUUAAAGUUUCAUGCUUUAUUUUAAUCUUGUUAGUGGCAGAAGAAUAAUUAUAUAUGAAUACUUCUUUUUAAUUUUGGUAAUAUAUCAAAGAUCGUGAAAAUUCAAUUUAUUUUUUUAGAAGAAAUCAAACUAGAAAUUUUAUUAAGGAAAAAUUGUAUAUAAAUAUUGGAUACAGAUCAAUAUGUUUUUAUAUUUUUACAUAGAAAGUCUAAUAAUAAACCACUUAUACAACGAAUAAAAAAAAAAAAACAAUUUUGAUUUGAAGUAUACGAUCAAAUUGACAAAAUAUAAUAUUUAUGUCAUAGGCAAUCGUUUGCUUCAUCACUUGGUAACUAUUUGUCGCUAUGGUUUUUCUACAAGUUCGAUUUGAUUACCUUUAAAUUUUUUCUUUCUAUUGAGGACGAAAUCUGUACUUCUUUCUGUAUGACUAUCCAAAUAAUAAAAGAUACCGGACAAAAUCACUAGAUGGGUAAGAAAAAAAAAAAAAAAAAAGCUUGUAUUACCAUGUAAAACGUCUAAUCUAAACCAUGUCCAAAAUUAUUUAUGCCUUGAAAAGAUUAAAAAGUAUUGAUUUUAGAAGUAUUUUUGUUAUAAUUUAAGUCAUUUAAUUAUUUUUUUAAUUACUACGAUAAAAAUUUUAAAUGGACAAAAAGGGGUAUUUUUUAUGUUAUAUAUGGUAGUAAUAUUAUUACUAAUCCGUCCAUAAAUAUAAGUCAUUUAAGGUUAUUGCACGGUGAUUAAUGAAAUAAUUAACUCUCUUAAAAUUAUAACAAAAUGUUUAUUAAUUUGAUCAAAAUUUGUAAAGAUCAUUAUUGCAAAUAAAAUUGAAAAAACAUCGUUAAUUACUUUUUUAUAUUUGUGGACAAAAAAUUUCCCUAAAAUGACUUAAGUUUGUGGACAAAUAGAGUAUAUAAGAACUAGUGUAACAACCCUUUAAAAUUAUAUUAGUACAAGUCAAAUAUGUUACCAAUAACUAGACUUAUUCCAAAUUUAAUGGUCUAUAAAUUUCGAUUAAAAUUUAAAUUCACAAUCUUUUAAUUUUAUAAACUAUUUUAAUAAUUAAUUAAUAACUAAGCAAAGCCCAAAAAAAAAAGAUUACCCGGGAAAAAAUGAAUUUCCUCAAGGUAAUAAUAAAUUUUUCAUUUUUUAUAUAUGUGUUAAUGGGUAUGGGUCUCAUAAUGUGAUGAACAAGUACAAUCUGCUUGGCAAUCAGAGAUGCAAAGUUCCCCCAUAAGAGAAUAUGAUAGCUUGUCUUGCUCACCUUGUUACUUGAAAUAUUGAAUUGCUUUUAGACAUAUAACUAUAAUUCUUGCCAUAUCUACCUGUUUGGUACCUCAAAAAGAAAAUGCAAAGGAAGUGAAGACCGCACAGAUUUUCUUGAACAUAUAUAAGCUAUAGAUAAAACAUUUAUAAUGAUUUAAACCAGAAGGAAGGAAAAAUUUUCAAGAUUCUUGAGAAAUGUAACCGAAGGUAAUGCCUUGUUGGUUUUUUUUUUUCUUUUUUCAAGGAAGAGUGGUGGCUCUGUUAUCAAAGCUAAAACAAUCAAUAAUACUGAAAACUUAUUGAGGAAAACAAUGCAAGAACACAUGGAGUAUCUAUUCAAAUAAAGAAAAAAGAUCAAGAAACAGAACCCCGAGGUGAAAUAGGUGGUGGAGUAGUUGAAAAUCUUUAAUCUUUUGUUUCUUUUCUUUAUUGCUCUGUAUGUAUGUGUUUGUUGCUUGUCUUCAAAGACAAUCUUAUUAGUGAGUUUUGAGUUUAACAUAAGAGAGAGAAGAAAGAGGAUUUAGAUUAGGUUAGACAAACCCAAUGCAGAAUCAAGAAGAGAGAUUUGGGAUUUGAUGCAAAUUGCCAAUGCCGAUGUCGAGGCAACCCUACAACCACCACCACCACCACCGCCACCACAACCACCUCGUCUUCUUUCUUUUUCUUGCACUUGGAGUAUUUGCUGCUAGUUCUGCAGCAAAUAAUGAAGUCGAUACUUUACUUUCUUGGCUUCACAGCUCCUCUUCUUUACUCUCUCCAGUUUUCUCUAAUUGGAACCAUUUGGAUUCUAACCCUUGUAAGUGGUCUUAUAUCACUUGCUCUUCUAAUAACUUUGUUAUUGAAAUCAACAUUCAGUCUACUGAUAUUGCUCUUCCUUUCCCUUCCAAUCUUUCCUCUCUUCUUUACCUUGAAAAGAUCAUUCUUUCUGCUGUUAAUCUCACCGGUACUAUCCCACCUGAUGUUGGAGACUGUAAAAACCUGAUAGUCCUUGAUGUUAGUUCUAACAGUCUUGUGGGUAGUAUUCCUAAAAGCAUUGGCAAGCUCCAAAAUCUUCAGGACUUGAUUUUGAACUCCAAUGAGUUUACUGGGGAAAUCCCAGUUGAGCUUGGUAAUUGCUCUAAUCUCAAGAAUCUUGACAUAUAUGAUAAUUUCUUUAGCGGGAAUAUUCCAGUUGAACUAGGCAGACUAACAAAUUUAGAGGUCAUUCGCGCUGGAGGGAACAAGAACAUUGCAGGAAAGAUUCCAGAAGAGCUUGGAGAUUGCGAGAAUUUGCAAGUUCUUGGUUUAGCUGAUACUAAAAUUUCAGGUUCUAUACCUGCUUCAUUAGGCAAGCUAAGCAAGCUUCAAACACUAUCAGUAUACACUACAAUGCUGUCUGGUGAGAUUCCACCUGAUUUAGGCAACUGCUCAGAGCUUGUCAACUUAUUUUUAUAUGAGAAUGAUCUCUCAGGUUCAUUGCCACCACAGUUGGGUAAACUACUGAAGCUGGAAAAGAUGUUACUAUGGCAAAACAAUUUUGAUGGGAUUAUUCCUAAUGAGAUUGGAAACUGUAAAAGCUUGAAGAUUUUUGAUCUUUCCUUAAAUUUUUUCUCUGGAGACAUACCUAAGUCUUUUGGCAACCUAUCAAAUCUCGAAGAGCUUAUGCUUAGCAAUAAUAAUAUUUCUGGUUUGAUCCCUCCAGUUCUUUCAAAUGCUACAAAUUUACUACAGUUGCAGCUUGAUGCUAAUCAGAUAUCAGGUUCAAUUCCUAAAGAGCUUGGUAUGCUGACACAGUUAACAGUCUUCUUUGCUUGGCAGAACAAACUUGAAGGAAGCAUUCCUGUAGAGUUAGGUAGCUGCAGAAGCCUUGAAGCAUUAGAUUUAUCGCAUAAUGCACUUACUGGUAGCUUACCUCCUGGCCUAUUUCAGCUUCAGAACCUAACAAAGCUUCUUUUAAUUGCUAAUGACAUUUCUGGUUCAAUUCCUCAAGAGAUUGGUAAUUGCAGCGCUCUUAUUCGUCUUCGCCUCGUAAAUAACAAAAUCAGUGGAAAUAUUCCAAAAGAAAUUGGAUUGCUCAAUGACCUCAAUUUUCUUGACUUGUCUGAAAACCAUCUUGGUGGGACUUUACCAGACGAAAUUGGAAAUUGCUCUGAUUUGCAGAUGUUGAACUUAAGUAACAACACCCUUCAAGGUAAUUUGCCUAAUUCUUUAUCUUCUCUUACUAGACUUCAAGUAUUGGAUGUUUCUAUGAAUCAAUUUGUGGGUGAAAUUCCAACUAGUUUUAAUAAACUUAUUUCACUUAAUAGACUGAUUCUAAGUAAGAACUUUUUCUCUGGGGGAAUUCCUUCCUCACUUAGUCAAUGUUCAAGUCUUCAGCUUCUUGAUCUCAGUAGCAAUGAACUAUCUGGCAAGAUCCCAGUUGAACUGUUUGAUAUUGAUGGUCUUGAUAUUGCUUUGAAUUUGAGUUGGAAUGCGCUUACUGGGGUAAUCCCACCACAGAUUUCUGCUCUAAACAAAUUAUCUAUUCUUGACCUAUCACACAAUAAGCUAGGAGGAGACUUGGUAUCACUGGCUGGUCUUGAAAAUCUUGUUUCUUUAAACAUUUCCUACAACAAUUUCUCUGGCUAUCUUCCGGACAAUAAGCUGUUUAGACAGUUAUCUGCGACAGACUUGGCAGGAAAUCAGGGAUUGUGUUCUAAAGGCCGUGAGUCAUGUUUCUUAAGCAAUGCAACAAUGAUGAGCAUGGCUAAUAAUGGUCACUUGAAAAGAUCACAGAGACUUAAACUAGCCAUUGCAUUGCUCGUCGCCUUGACUAUAGCAUUGGCAAUUUUUGGGGCGAUUAUUUUUUUUAGAGCUCGAAAAUUGAUAGGAGAUGAUUGUGAAUCUGAGUUGGGAGGAGAUUCAUGGCCUUGGCAUUUCAAUCCAUUUCAGAAGCUAAAUUUUUCAGUAGAACAAGUCCUAAAAUGCCUAGUGGAAGACAAUGUAAUAGGAAAAGGAUGUUCAGGAAUUGUGUAUCGUGCAGAACUUGAAAAUGGGGAAGUCAUUGCUGUUAAAAAGCUUUGGCCAGCAACAAUUGCUGCAGGACAUGAUUGUCAAAAUGAUAGGUUAGGAAUUGGAGGAGUUCGCGAUUCCUUUUCAGCUGAGGUAAAAACUCUUGGUUCCAUUCGCCAUAAGAACAUUGUUAGAUUCUUGGGAUGCUGUUGGAAUCGAAACACGAGAUUGCUUAUGUAUGACUAUAUGCCUAAUGGGAGCUUAGGCAGUCUUCUUCAUGAAAGAAGUGGUGGUUGCUUGGAAUGGGAAGUGAGGUACCGGAUAGUCUUGGAAGCAGCACAAGGUCUUGCUUACUUGCAUCAUGACUGUGUUCCUCCAAUUGUUCACAGAGACAUUAAGGCUAACAACAUUCUCAUUGGCCCAGAAUUUGAACCAUAUAUUGCUGAUUUCGGACUUGCCAAGCUUGUCGAUGAUGGUGAUUUUGCUCGCUCUUCAGCUACUGUUGCUGGCUCCUAUGGUUACAUUGCUCCAGGUGAGUUCAAAAUCCAUACCAGCAUUGUCCUGAUGAGGCUAAAAUUUUCAAAUUGCAUAUUGAUAGCAUUGUCCUGAUUUGACUUUAGAAAAUUUUCACAAUGAUGAGACUCAUUUAUUUGGUUUGCAGAGUACGGAUAUAUGAUGAAGAUAACCGAAAAAAGCGAUGUGUAUAGCUAUGGUGUGGUGGUGCUAGAAGUACUAACUGGGAAGCAACCAAUUGAUCCAACAAUACCAGAAGGGCUUCACAUUGUAGAUUGGGUGAGGCAGAAGAGAGGAGGGAUUGCAGUGCUCGAUCCUAGCUUACGAGCUCGGCCCGAAUCAGAGAUUGAAGAGAUGUUGCAGACCAUAGGAGUAGCUUUGCUAUGUGUAAAUCCAAGUCCUGAUGAUAGGCCUAACAUGAAGGAUGUAUCAGCAAUGCUCAAGGAAAUAAGGCAGGAGAUUAGAGAUCACGAGUGCUUGAAAGUGGACAUGCUUAUAAAUGGAUCUUCAGGAAAUACUCAACAGGAGAAUAGCAAUAACUCUCCAUCAUCAGCGCUGAUGCAAGAACAAUCAUAUCCUGAAAGCAACAGUACAAGCCUUUCUGCUUCUUCAUUUUUACAUUCUUCUUCAUCCAUGGCUAAAACUACAUUCAAAUAAAUUUCUUAAAUAUUUUUUUAUCCUUGCAGCAUCAUGUAUCACUAUUAUUUUAGAUAAACUGGAUGUUAGCUAGUCCAGUGUCAGAACUUUCUUGUGUAAAAUAGAAAAGCAGGCAAUUAAAAAUCUUUAUAUAUAAAGAUGGGCAAGUGCGGAGGUAGGACUUUCACCCAACGACAAAGCAAAACCAUACAGAUUGGCCUCAAAGCGGACACAGCUUCCCAAGGAAUUGAAAAAAAUUCUUAUUAAAAAUUACAUUUUAAUCCUUCAAAAUAUAAAGAAAAUUAUAUUUGACUUCUUAAAGAAAUAAAAAAAAAAAAAAAAAACGUAGAAAACUAGGAUGAUGAUGAUCCACUACAAAGUUCUGGGCAAUUACAGACGGAUUUCUGCGAUGACGAUGAUGUAUUGAUGUAUAGAUAUGAAACCAAAAACAUUAAGUUUCUUAGCUGAAAAAAGAAAAGAAAUGGAGUGGUAAUCCUUAAUACAAGGUUGUCUUCAUUUCAUACACAAUGAUGCUUUGUUUGCGUUAGAGGUUGUACUUUUCCUAUGUCUAAUAUUUUGCAAGUUGUAACUGCACUUCACUAAACGACAACAAGUCUAAAUUCGCAUUAUUUCAACGUCGUACGCAAGUGCAAAUCAAAUUAAAUUCUAGCAAUUCUUUCGUCAUAAUUUUUUUUGGCUGCUAUUAUUUUUUGUUCUUCAUUGUUAACAACAAAAUUAGAAGAAAAUAUCAAAACCAAAAUUAAUUAAUUAAUUAAUUAAUUAUGGUGUCAUACAAUCAAGCAAAACACCCAUAAGGGGACCAUGAUUAAUCUAAAAAUUUUCUAAUUUCAUGGAGUACUACUUGUUUUUUCUUUUUCUUUUUAUUUUUUAUAGUGUGGAAAAUGAUUUUAAAAGAGGGUUUUGCGUUUUUUUUUUUUUUUUUUGGAAGGCAAAGAAUUAAUAGAAAGAAUAUUAGAAAUAAAAUUAAAAAGGAUGAGACUCUACUUCUAGAAAUUAUACGUGGAAUAAGCAUACGUUACAAGCAGAUGCACAACACUAUUCGCUUACCUUUUAACCAAAAAAAAAAAAGACAUUUAAUACAUAAGAUUUUGAUGUUUGGUUAAUACAUGAAUGUUACAUUCUUGAAAUAGCUAGGUUCUUAAAACUACAUUUUUCGGUCUAAAAAGAUGGAAAUUUACAUUAUAUAAAUAAAAAAUUAAGAACACUAUUAUUUGUUAAUUUUGAAUAAUAUGUGCAUCAAAUUAAUUUGUCAAUAAAAAAAAUUUAAUUGAAUCAAUUUUACAUCUGUAGAUAAUACUUCUAGAAUAUCAGUAAAAAAAUAUGUAUAAAUUAAAAAUACUAUUAUAAUUUACAUUUUUUAUAAAUUCAUCCAUCUCUUAAUUAUCUUACACUUCAAAAAGAAAAUAUUUAUAACUCAACAUAAUUUUUUUUUUUUUUUAAAAAAAAAACUUUCUCAAGACAUCUCCCAGGAGAGGGAAAGUUAAAUUUUUAUUUAUGGUUCUAACUUAUAAUUACAAAAAGAGAAAAUAUCAUAUAUGUAAAUUUGAUUAAAACCCAUUAUCUAAAUUGCUAAAACAUUUAAACAAUUCAAUUUAAAAUCAUAUUAUACAGAAAACAUUUCAAAUAUUCUUUCCAAUCAACAAAAUUCAAGAUUUCAAAAUAGUAAUAACUAUCAAUAAGGGUUUUGUAUCAUAAAAUUUAUCCACAUUACACAUAAAAUGAAAUAUAUAUAUAUAUAUAUAUAUAUAUAUAGAGUCAUAUACUCUUGCAAAGCAGUAACGUAGUAUCAACAGUUAACUGGCACAAGUACAAAACAUUGUAUAGUAAUACUAGUAUAAUGUAAGGGGCAACCCCAAAACUAAAACUCAAAUUAAUGAUACAAACAUCCAUUUAAUUAUAUAUUUAUUAUUAUUAUUAUUAUUAUUAUUAUUAUUAUUAUUAUUAACUAAUUAACCGUCUCCUUAAUACUCUCUCUUGGCUGUUGUCAUGAUUUUGACUCAGAAAUCAGAGACUGUUGAUUGGAUUGUGCAGAGAAUCUAGGGUUUUCCAUACCAACUUACUCUUAUCACAACAUCUUGACCAUCCACUUGUCCAUCCAUUUUCAUGCAUGAAGGAGAGAGAAAGUGUCUUCUUUUUCUACUACCAUUCACUUUACCGUUUGGGUUUGAUUUGUAUUAGAAGAGGAUCCAUUAACAGUUGCAGGAGUGCUUGCAUGUGAGUUUUUUGGUGAUUUUCUUGCUUUCUUAUUCUCUGGUUUCGCUCCCGGUUGUCUCACCUUCACUCCUCUUAUCAACUGUUAAUAAUCAUAAUUAAUUAAUUAAUUAACUAUUAAUCUAUUUAUAUAUUAAAAUUAUAAAUAAAAAAAUACAUAAAAAAAAAAAUAUAUACAUAUUUGCCACACUUGACAUCCGAGUAUAUGACAAUGAAAUCUCCUUCUUGAAGUCCAUUUGUUCUCACAAAAUCUCCUGAAAUUAAUUAACAAAAUCAAAAGAAGGUUAUUACUAUAGACUCAGAAUUUAAAAGAAAAUAUCUAAAAAUUAAAUAUCCACCGAACCUGUGUUUUCUAGGAGGUACAUCCUGCUUUUGUUGUUGGGCCAGAAUCUGAAACUCCAUGUAGAAAAAUAAAAAUAAAAAUAAGAAAGUGCAGAGAAUUAAUUUUGUAAGAAUGGAAAUGGAAAAAUCAAGAAAAUCAAGAAUCAUUUAGAAUACAAAAAUACCUAUAACGCAUGUUCCAAACCCUAGAAGUCCCUAUGUCUUCCAUUGCAAUAGAAAUCCCAUCUCUUGCCUCCAAUUCUGGUAAAUGAGUUUCUGCUUCUUUCUACAAUAUUUUUUUAGAAAAAUAAAUAAAAAUUCAAAGAAAUAAUCAGCACACACACAAAAAACAAGUACCUUCGGCAACACUAUCCUCCCAAGAUUACCCACAUCACUCUGCUUCAGCACCUUUUGAAGGAGAAACCUCAGGUUCUUCUCUGGUUUCCAACCCUGAAGAAACCAAAAUGAGCAUACAUAUACAAAGACAAAAUUAUCUUUAAUUGUAAUUAUUCACCAUCUUAAUCAUAAAUGCAUAAUUACUGAGAUAAUCUCAGCAAUAAAGGCAAUCUAACAAAUCCAAAGUAGUGAACCCACCUGUCGCCUAUCUGAUGCCACUUGCCGUUGAUGAUUCUGAUGUGAUUGCAUGGCCGGUCGAUCCACUGUAUGAACCGGCGGUGCAUCCAUAGGUAGAACAGGCGUGGUUGAAACAGCAACACCGCCGACAGCUGCAGGCCAGUAAACCCAAUUACCGGGAUUAGGCGGCUGAGCUGCUGGUGUUAUAUUAUCACUUCCAAGCCUUCCAUGGUGAUCUAUUACUGUAUUCUGAUUUUGAUUCUGGUUUUGUUGGUUAUUGUUUUGGUGAUUGUGAUUUCUAUGAUGUGACAUAAACCUUCUUUGUCUAGCCAUUCUCUUCUUUCUUGCUUCUUUGGUAGCUGAGGAACCCAAUCUCACCAACGUAUCACCGACUUGGGUAGGGAGAUACUGACAUGGGUAUUGAUUUCCAUAUCCGCUAAAUACAUUCGGGUGCGUUGGUACCGGCUGGAGAUUAUUAUCUGGAAAUGGUGAGUAAUGAGAAGCUAAAGCAAAUUGUGAUGCGGACCAAGAUUGAGCAGAAUCAAGCAUUUGAUAAUCUGAGGAUGAUGGCGGUUGCGGUGGUUGUGGUGGAGGAUAAGAUUGGCCAGCCAUGUUAGAAGCUCCAUUAACAAACGGGUCAGCCAUGUACCCAACCAUAGGUUGAAAACCCUGCAUGCCUGUGGCUGCCGGGUCGGAAAUAUAAGGUGGAGGUGCAAUCCAAGGUGAUUGAGAGAAACAAGGAUUUGAUUGAUCUGGCUGAAUAGAAUUACUACAAUUCAGAUUAGGGUUAGGGUUUUGCAGAGGGUCUUGAGAUGAUUCUUUCAUCCUCCUUUUUUGAAGAUGAUUAGUUUGAACCCAUUCAAGAAUCAACUUCAACAAUUGUUUCAUAGCUGCUUUACCACCACCCAAACGCUUAGCAGCACACUCUAUAGUAGCUUUCUUGAUUUUGACUUUUCUUAAGUCUUCUGCAGAAACAGUCUCUUUAUUGCUCUUUAACCACUCUAAAAACACCAUUGCUAGAUCAUCUGAAGCUCCUUCCCCUGAUUCUUGUUUUUGAGUCACUUCACUUUUUGUUUCCAUUGCUAACUCUUCAUUUCUCUGUUGCACCUGCAGUUCCUGUUGCAGAUUCUGCUCUGUAUUGAACUCUUCCAAGAAAUUUUCAUCAGCUUGAAAUAUCGAAGAAGGAUCCAAAAAAUCAUUGUUUUCGAUCAGAUCCAUGUAACCGAAAUUAUCCAUCAUGCUCAUGCAACCAACACCAACAUCUUGAUCAGGUGGCUGUAAGAUCUCCAUUGAAGCAGUAGAAGAUAAGGCAGCUGCGGUUGGUUCCAAGGGAUCAUAUUGACCCUGAUGAUUAUGAUAAUGAUGAUGCUGGUUAUGAUCAUGAAUUUUUUUCUCCACAUCUUCUUCUGCGUCUGACUUCAAAACUGCCCAGGAAGCGGCGGAUGACGAAGAAGAAGCUGAAGAAGAAGAUGAUGAUGAAGCCAUGGCCUUGACCGGUGCAGGAGUUGACGAAGAUGAAGAAGAUGAUGACAUGCAAGGGAAAUCUGGUAAAGCAGGGUAAUCAUCAUAAAAGAUCGAAGAAUUAUUCACAUCUAACAGAUCUUCUUGUUCUCUUUCUAACCAGAUUUCUCUUUCUUCCUCCAUAGCAUCAACAGUCGUACCAAAACCAGUUGUAGGGUUUGUUACAUUUUCAUGAUCUUCAACAUGCAAAUGUAAACCCUUCAUUUUUUUGCUUAAUUUUUUUUUUUUUUUUAAGAAAAAGCCCAAAAAUAGUAAUAAAUAAAAAAAAAUUGCAACUUGGAGAAACCUUUUGAGUUCUGUUGUUCGCAGAUAGUUUCAGAAAGAGAGAGAGAGAGAGAGAGAGAGAGAGAAGAUAAUAAAGAGAGAGAAGAAGGGAAGGAUAGGGGAUUCCUGUGUACGGAUAAGUGCAAAGAGAAAGAUUGUAUCCGAUUAAGGAAGCAGAAGAGAGAAAGGGCCCAUUUGUAAAUGUCAAUUACUCAACAAAAACGCAACAUAAACCAUCUGGGCAUCUUCCUUUCUAUCUAAACUCACUUACUGUAUCAUCUAUCAAUAUCACCGCCUCCACCAACAAUGGAUAACAUAAACAAAUACCCUCCUUAUAAUUAUAAUAAUAUAAAUAACAAUUAAGAAAGCGACGCCUCUACUCUUAAUGCUGUUUUUAACAAACACAGACUACGCAUAAUAUUAAAACCCUAAAAUUGUACAGAAAACCAUACUCAGCUAGCCAGCAACAAUGGCGAUCGAGUUCAACCAAUCAAAGAUAGAUCAACUUAAAGAGUGAAAAGGGUAAGCAAGAUGAGCAAAUAUGGAGAAGCCCACAUGCUCAAAUAAACCCCCCAUGUGUGUUCUGGUUUGUUCCAUGGAUGUCUAAUUGCCAUUUUCUAACCUUCCUUUUAACUUUUCUUCAAUAAAGUUCAAAUCAGUAUUUUGGGCGUUUAUGCAGAAUUCAAUUAACUAAGAGAGAUGGGUAGUUUUAGAGAUAGAAAGAGAAGAAAAAACAACAAAAACAAAAGAAAAACUUCCCCGUGCCGCUGGUUUUUCAGUCCUAUUCCGGAUUUUGUGCCAUCCGCCAAACGUUCUCUCCUUAAUGGAGCAACCGAGCGGUGCCUCAGCCUUUUCUUUCUUUUAACUUUAAUGUCUAUGUCAAUGUGAACUUAAAAUACUGCAAUGAUAUUUACAGUUACUUCCAAUUUCAAUUUUGUCCAUUUGCUGCUAUCUAAGCAAAGCAUACAUCCAACCAAAACUUGAUUAAUUAAUUCAAGAAAAUUGAGAUAUAUAUUAGAAUUGAGUCAACUUUGUGGGGAAUUCAGCAAUUUCGCUUUUUUAAGCUAUGGAUAUGUAUCAUCUAUCUAAAGAUUGUAUUAUUAUUGAAACAUUAUCGAUUCUCUGGAUGUUUAUGUUCUUCUGAUAUGUACUGAAACUUGUUAGAGUCACUUUAUAUCAUCCAUAUCAAGUUGAUGAAAAUCUAAACUAAAGCAUUAUAUUUCAUAGUUUGUGAAUCAAUCAAUCAAAAACAUAUAUAUAUCUCGUGUUGUUUAUCCGUUUAUUACAAAAACAAACAAUCUAUUUACUGAUAGUUUGAAAUUGAAAUCAAAUUACAUCCUUUAAUUUAUGAUAAAGCGAUUGAAGGAACUAGUUAAAAAUUUGAAAGGUAUUAACCUAUGUCUUGUUAUGAUCAAAUGAUUAAAGGAAUUGUCUAAAACAUUAGAUGAAAACUAAUAUUGUUUAUGUAUUUUAUUUGCACUUGAGAAUCAGAAUAGAUAUAGAGAUAUACAUGACAUGCAAAAGCGAUACUUGAUUAUCCUUUUCUUUAUUGUUUUUUGUGAUUCUUGAAUGCAAAAAUUUUAAUUUUUAUGUCAGGGUUAAUUAAAGUUUUUAUUUUUAUUUUACAGCAUAAUGCUAAUAUUAUUAAUUUACUAUGAUAACAAGAACAAUGUAUACAAAUAGUUAAAAGUUCAACUAUCCUACAAACUUUUAACUAUUUUUAUAAAUAUGGCAAAUUCUUUUAAUCGAAUUGAUAUCAUAAAAUUUUGAUUUCUUAACAAUUGAGGUUUGUUACUCUGCCGUUUAAUUCAAAUGACGUGAUUAUUAAAUUCAGUAUGUGGGCCUAUUUCAGACACGUCAGUCAGAGAGAGUAGAUGCUUAUAGAGCAUAGCUUUUCAAUUCUCGAAUAUUGUGGCUGACUGUGGUCUAGUUGAUCUAGGAAUGUCUGGGUACCCUUUUACUUGGGCUCAUGGUAGAGGUCAACACCGGGUAGAGAAAAGAUUAGACAGAGCUUUGGGAAACAUCACUUGGCAGAAUCAUUUUCCUAAUUAUCAAGUCCAGAACUUAGUCUCAAGUAAGUCUGAUCACUCUCCUCUUUUUAUUCUCACUUCUCCCAGAAUUGAAAACCAGCGACAUCAACGUUUUCAGUUUGAGAAUAUUUGGCUAGAGGAAUCUGAUGUAGACGCUGUGGUAAGAGAGAGUUGGACUAGUCAUGAGGGUGUUGAUGUAACGGGGAAGAUAAAAGUUUGUGGAGAACGCUUACAGAGCUGUGGUAGGAGCUUAAAGCUUCGGUUUAGGCAUAAUGCAAAGAAGUUGACAGUGCAGCUUGAAAAUCUUCGAAUCAGGGGUAAUAUUGAACAGUUUGAAGAUGUACAGCGUAUGCUUGAUGAUGUUCUGCACCGUGAAGAGGUUUUCUGGUCUCAAAGAGCGAAAUCUCAUUGGUUAAAAUCGGGGGAUAUGAACUCUAGGUAUUUCCAUGCAACUGCUAAGAAACGGAAAAAGUUGAAGCAGAUUUUUCGGUUAAAGGAUGCUAAUGGCGAGUGGAUCAGUGACAACAAUUUGCUGAAAGGUAUGGUGAGUGCUUAUUUUGUUAAUCUAUUUGAGGCCGGGGAUGUUGACUUAAGUCCUGUUGUGGGUUUAUUCUCUCCUUUCGUUUCGGAUAAUGACAACUCUCGUUUACUUGGAGAUAUUUCGGUGGAUGAGGUACAAUUGGCUGCGAAAUAAAUGCAUGCAGAUAAAAAGCCCAGGGAUGGAUGGUCUAAAUCCUAGAUUCUACCACAGGUUUUGGGAUGUUAUGGGUCACGAUGUUGUCAAAAGUUGCCGAGACUGGUUCAAUAUAGGCAUUUUUCCUAAUAAUGUGAAUGAUACCUUAAUUGUGUUGAUUCCGAAAGUAGAGGACCCAGAGGCAGUGACGGAUUUUCGACCUAUUUCACUUUGUAAUGUAGUUUACAAAGUGUUUGCUAAGGUUCUGGCGAACAGACUGAAGACCAUUCUGCCUAAUCUUAUUUCAAUAUCUCAGUCGGCUUUUGUCCCGGGUCGGUUGAUCUCAGAUAAUGUGUUAGUUGCUUUUGAGUUAAUCCACUCUAUGCAAACAAGAAUGAAAGGUCGACAAGGAGUCUCUGCAUUGAAAGUUGAUAUCUCAAAAGCCUAUGACAGAGUUAAUUGGUGUUACCUACGGGCUGUUAUGCAGGGGUUGGGUUUUAGCCAGCGUUGGGUUGACUUGAUCAUGCUGUGUGUUUCCUCUGUUAAAUACUGGGUGGGAGUGAAUGGGGAUGAGGUUGGCCCCAUUAUUCCAGAACGGGGGUUGAGACAAGGUUGUCCAUUAUCACCCUAUUUAUUUAUUCUCUGUGCUGAAGGACUGUCAAAGCUAUUUAGUCAGUCUGAACGUGACGGUCGCCUCAAAGGCUGUAGAGUCUCGAGAGCUGCUCCUCAGUUAUCUCACUUGCUAUUUGCGGAUGAUAGUCUGUUCUUUUUUGAGGCAUCAUGGACUCAAGCUCUAGAGAUUAAAAAUAUUCUAGUUACUUAUGAAGCAGCUUCAGGUCAAACGGUUAAUUGGCAAAAAUCUGGUAUUUUUUUCAGCUCUAACACUUCUAAGCUGGAUAAGACUGCUGUUCAAGGGGUAUUUGGUGUGAUUGCUCCUUUAAACCACGGAAGGUAUCUCGGUUUGCCAUCAUUAAUUGGUAGGGUAAGGAGACGGAUUUUUUCUUUCUUGAAGGAUCGAGUGAGGAAGUUGGUCAGGGGUUGGAAUCAGAAACUCCUCUCCAAAGGGGGUAAAGAGGUUCUAUUAAAGGCUGUAUCACAAGCUAUUCCCUCAUUCUGUAUGAGUUCUUUUCUUAUACCGGUAUCUAUUUUAACGGAGCUUCAGCGGCUCAUGAAUUCCUAUUGGUGGGGAGGAAAGAUGAGAUGGUUGAGUUGGGAAAGGAUGUGUGUAGCGAAGGAAGACGGAGGUUUGGGUUUUAGACAUUUGCGAAGUUUCAAUCUGGCCUUGUUAGGAAAGCACUGCUGGAGGCUUUUACAUAAUACAAACUCUCUCUUUUAUAGCUCUUUCAAAUCUAAAUAUUUCCCUAGUGGGAAUUUUCUUGGUGCAGGCGUUGGACGUAAUCCAAGCUUUGUAUGGAGAGGGAUUUGUGUAGCCAAGGAUGCUAUAUGUUCAGGUUUUCGGUGGAGAAUCGGAGAUGGUCAGUCAGUAAAUGUCUGGACCGAACCGUGGCUAUUACAGGAUAAUCAGUUUCGGGUUCACUUGCCUAUUAUUUCUGGUUUUGAGCAUAUACGGGUUUCUGAUCUUAUUUUGGCACACGAGGCACGUGCUUGGAAUUUGCCACUGAUACAUGGUCUUUUCGAUCCUUCAAUUGCUGAAAUUAUUACUUCUAUUCCUUUAGUUACAAAUGUUCAUGACGACAUCCUUAUAUGGCAUUGGACAGACUCUGGGAUAUACUCUGUGAAAUCUGGAUACAGAUUAGUAGCGUCACAAUAUGUGGAUCCUGAAGAUGUUUGGCGGUCGAGUUUUUGGAAAAUUCUUUGGUCACUGAAAAUUCCGCCAAAAGGGAGGCAUUUUCUCUGGAGGUGCUGUCGAGACAUUCUGCCAGUUAAAGCAAAUUUGGCAAGAAGGGGACUGGAGCUUGAUACAGGAUGCGAUUACUGUGGUAAUACUGAAACGCUAGUUCAUGCUCUUGUUGAAUGUCCACGAGUGAGCUUUUGUUGGCAAUUUUUUGUUAUUCAGCUUACUACUUGGAAUUUUCCAACUUUCUUACAACUGGUGGAACAUUUACACAAGGUGUGGGAAAACAAAUUUUUUGAAAGUUUUGUUAUGGGACUUUGGAGUGUUUGGUCAAGCCGUAAUGAGCUGAAAUGGAAUCAAGUGGAAGAAGGACCUUAUCAUGUGGUUACUCGAGCCAGAAGUAUGCUCGCAUCUUGGAAGAAAGCCCAGCUGAAGUCGUCAGGUUCAAGUACAGGUACAGAUGCUCCUGUAGGUAGUCGAUGGUUUCCACCACCUGUUGGUACUAUUAAACUAAAUUUCGAUGCCACUCUUCUCCCUUCUAUUGGCCAUGGAGUCGUUGGUGCUGUAAUUUCAAAUUGCAACAGCGAGUUUGUAUCAGCAGCAAUGUCCUCACUGCAAGGUUGUUCUUCUCCAGCAGUAGCAGAAGCUCAGGCGCUAAGAACAGUGUUGUCUUGGUUGCUAUCGAGCUACCCCAGCCUGAAGAUUCAGAUUGAGACCGAUUGUCUGCAAGUUUACUGUGCUAUGAGGAAUUCUGUCCAAGAUUGGACUGAGUUUGGAGUAAUUAUUUCUGAAUGUAAGCUAUUAUUAGUCCAAUUGUCAAAUAUCACAUUGGCUUGGAUUAGAAGACAAGCAAAUGAUAUAGCUCAUAUAUUGGCUAAAUCAGUUCCUCAUGGAGCUUGUUUUCGAACUUGGGAUAUUGUUCCCGCUUGUAUUGCUCAUUUUUUCUCUUAAUAAAUAAAUGACCAAUAUUAAAUGUCAAAAAAAAAAAAAAAAGCUUUUCCUUAAUCAUUUUAACAAGUAUGGCUGUGUUUUUUAUGCUGCUUUUAUAUGCUAAUUGCUAUUUUUUUACGGUGUCUUAUAAUAUAAUUUUGAAUUAGUUUUAAAAGUUUUUACGGUGUCCCAUAAUAUAACUUUUCAACUAGCUUUAGAGUUUAAGGUAGUCUUUUGUGAAAAGUUAAUUCAUAUAAUGUUUAGCUUGUAAUAUUUAAUUAAAAGCUACUAAAAUAGCUAACAGCUAAAUGCUAUUAAAACAGUUAACAACGCCCAAAAUAAUUAAUUUUGCCAAACAAAUCCAAGCACAUUCAUGAAUUCUAGAUAGUAGAUGAAUGGAGGCUACAAUUGUUAAUAUAUAAAUAUAUAUAUGAGAUAAAAUUAAAAGAAUUUAUUAAAAUUAUAAAAAUGGUCAAAAUUGAGAUUUUAACCCUUUAUUAUAAAAGUUUUAAUCAAUUUAAUUAUAAUUAGUAUCAACUGAAAAAAUUAUUUGGUUUAUUAAUUUCUAUUAUAUAUAAAAUAUAAAGCAAAGUAUAUAUAAAAGAGAGGAUUUGUAUUCUAAUUAAUCUAUAAUUAGAAAUUUCGUCUAUCUCAAUUCUUUUAAUCUGAUUGGAAUCAAUAAAAAUUUGAGAAAAUAAAUAGUUAUAUGGCCUAAUAAUGCAAUUUGUGACUUGUUACAAUCAUAAUAUAUUUAAUUUUUUGAUAAACAUAUAUUUUAAAAUAAAACUUAUACUAUACGAUUGAAAUUAGGAAAAAAAAAAUGAAUUACAACAUUCAAAAUUCAAGGUAUUUCACAUCUCAAAGUAUUAAUUCCAACCUAUAUUUAAAUAGGGUGUAAUUAUAAUAAUAUUAAGAGCUUUGCUAAAUGUCACAAGUUGUUAACACAAUUAUGCGCAUUUACAAGUACAUCUUUCGUGCAGCAUCAACAAUAUCUAAACUGCUGCUAAAAUAUUUUUAAGGGUAUUACAGUAUUUUCAUUUAUGUUAGAUAUGUCACAAGUUGUGCUAAAAAUACUUUCCGUAAUAUUAAUAGGAUGUAAUUAUAAAAUUUAAAUUUCAAAAUACUUUUACACCUUAAAACAAUUAACCAAUUUUUGAAUCUUUCUUCUAAUUUAUCCUAAAAAAUUUUAACUACUACAAUACUAUAGUUAUCAAAGAGAAACGACAUAUUGAUUUCUAUACACAAUUACCAACAUUACAAGUAUUUUUCCAUCUGUGUUGCUAUAGCGACAAAGUACUAAACUUAGGUAAGUUAGAAAUUUAGAAUAUGUAAUUAAAAGAAACUAUUUACCAUUCAAAACAAAAGGCAACUAUAAACUAAAUAGGGUAAUUCAGUGCCAAAGAGCAUUAAUAGGAUUGAUCAUUAUGGUUCAGGUCAUGGAUUUAAUUCUCUAUAAUACAAACUCCUCCUUAUAGUUUAGGUCAUGGAUUCAAUUCUCCGUAACGCAAACUCUUCCGAAUCAGCUAUUUUGCCUCCAAAAACGAACAAACACAGUUCUAAAUAUCUUGUGCAAAUAUAUAUAUAUAUAUAUAUAUAUAUAUAUAUAUAUAUAUAUAUAUAUAUAAAGGUACUAUGAAUUAUUAUUGCGGCAAUUUUUCGCUUAAUGAGGCUAGACUGAUAAAGUUUAAAUUCUUUUACAAAUUUCAAUAACUUUAUAGUUGUCAAAAGGCGAAAAAUAUAAAUUAAUUAAUUAUUUUAGGGUGUCAACUGUCAAGUAUUAAUCAAAUUUUUACAUUUUAUAGAUGCAAUCUAUUUCAAUUAUAUAGUGCAAUUAGUCUAAAGUUAUUAUUUAUUGAAAAAAUUUUGUGAUAAAUUACAAAUUUUAGGGUAUUGUUAUGUUCUUUUUAGUUAUCCGAUAAAGUGUAAAAUGUAGUAAAAGAUUAAUUUGAAUUGAUAUCAAGUAAUAAGUCUAUAACAAGAGGGAGGGAUACAUAAAAUUUAAAUUCAAUAAAUCUAGUUAGGUAAGAAAAUAUGUUAAAUUAAUAUAUUUGAAUUUAUCUAUAUUCAUGAUAUAUGAAUUUACUUAUAUAUUAAAUUAAUUAAAAAUACAAUUUUAAUUGUAAUUAGAAUAUUUCUGACUUUUAUUGGGAGAAAAAGAAUAUAAUAGAAACACUAUUUUGGAAAAUCCUUUAUAAGGACCGACUCCAUAUAAGUGGAGCACAACGAGACGCGCAUAUAAUUUAAUUUUUAAUUAAAUAAAGCAAAAUUGCGGAAGGGAAGGAUCAGAUACAGGCGGUAGUUCUCUACCACUAACCACAUUCUCACUCUACAUUUAGACAAAAUUGUGGGACCCAAGAGACUGACAACGUUACAAUUUAGGUUUCACAAAUAAGCUUUGUCCGGAUUCGUGGGUUAAGCGGCGGAUGCUCCAUUCUACUCUCUGACGUAACCCUUCUUAAUCUGCCAAUAACCGCGCUCUUCUAUUUCAACUCCCGUCUUUAUCCGCUGCCUUCUUUUAACAUUCACACUGCUCAACAAGCAACGCAUCUGACAGACUGCUUGUCUCCUCCCACGUGUACUCGUCCCUCAUCCUGGCGAGAUUCUAUUGGUAGUUACGGUUUUCUGGAUUCCGUACAUUAUACAACAGGUUUUUGUAGGAUUUUCUUAGAUAGUGCGUCUUCACAUGGCUCUGGCCCUUCACUGACUUUUAUCUGCAAUCAGAUUUUGCCACGUCUGCUAUCCUUAUCUCAAUUCGCGUUCUGAUCGUCAUUAAUUUUCUUUUAAAAGGAAAAAAACCAUAAUAAUUCCUUUUCUAUUUUCUUUUUUUUGACCGUUUGGUGAGGUCGUGGCCACACCAGGCUGGAUACAGCCUAUAGAAAAUAAGCCUGCAAGAUUAAAUGGCAUUUUAUUUUCCUAAAGAUAAGCAAAGAAUUCGAAAUUUUUAAUUAUGUAAUUCAUUUACGAUUUUGAAUUUUCUUUCUAUUUGCACAAUUUGGUGCAUUAUAGAAGGACGUGGCAUUAAUUCCACACACUUGUAUAAAAAAAAUAUUUGAAAAGUAAAUGAUAUAUUAUUAAAAAGUUGUAAUAAAUAUAUUUAUAUUUUUAGAGAUUCAUUGAGCAGAGAGUAUGGCGGAAUGGUUAAAUAGUUGGUAGAAUAGAAAGAGAGAGAGAGAGAGAGGUAAUCGUCAGCUUUGCUGACUCGAAACUAAAGCCCACAUGACGAGUGUGAUUGUGUGCUUUCCUGAUGUCAGGCUCAGUUCUCCACUCCGCCUUAUUAUUGGUCAAAAAGAAAUACUCUCCUUCCACCAUUUAUUUUCAUUUGAUAACUUCAAUACUUUAAUUAAUUAAAUUUUAAAAAAUUGUCCUGCCACCACCAAUAAUGGUGUCUUGACUUUGGACUGGUGACUAAACUAGGGAGGAGACCACACAAUUCCAUGUCUCCUAUAAUAUUGGGCCUGAAAUGGGACGGACCAUACCAUUUGGGCUUGACAGAAUAGCCCAGCUUGAUAUAUACAAAUCUAGCAAGUACACUACUUUCCAUAGCUUCUUUAAGCACAUUUCCUUCUUCUGGAAUCCCCAAAAAAACCACACCAAGCAACCAUCGAAACAAAUCGCAAGAGUAUUUUAACAAUGGAUCAACUGAUCUUCCUCGUUUAUCUCUAACAUCAACAGACCUUAAUUACCGUGAAACUAGCUAUUCACAACUACAUUACUUUCUCCGAAUUUCACGUUUAAAUACGCUGCGUUUUGAGAGAAGAAAGAAGGAAUUUGGAUGGUUGAUAACUUGACAUGAAGAGGAGAGUAAAAAACGGGUGAGCAAACUCUCUGACAAAGCAUUUAAACUCAGCUGCACACUACCCCUUAGACAGCCAAUUGUACAUACAGUACAGCAACCUCUCAUGUGCCAGUAAUAAUAUAAGUUAAUAAGCAAGGAAGCAAGCUGUCAUUCUUAUGUAGCACAUGCCAAACAGUCAAACAUAUUAAGUUGGUUGGACAGCUUAAGGUCGAUGUGAGAGAUCUACCAUUUUUCUUUUUACCUUGCUUUAAAUUAUAUACUACUAUUAUUCAAUUAACAUUGAUUUUGAUAAUCACAAAUUUAUGCCAGUUGCCCUAAUGUUUAGCGAUCUCCCAUUUUUCUAAUUUUACCCUUUUAACAUUUUCAACUUUUAUUUUUGCAGAUUAGACACUCAACUUGAUUAUAUAAUUACAUCUAUUAAAUAAUUUAAUUAGUAAAAUUAGACUAAUUGAACACCUACUUGAGUAAAACAACUCGCUGAACUGAGUUGAAAACUGAACCAAUAUUGUUCAAUUUAUUAAUUAUUGGUCCCCUGCUCGUUAGACACUUGAAAAUUUUAAAUGAUUAUUUCGAAAUUUAUAUUAAUCAUACAUAAAAUUAAUAUUUGCAUGUCAAAACUUAAAACCCAAAAAAAUUAUUAUUAGCGGUGCACAAAAGUGUACAAUAUUACCGAAAUUCAUAAUUUAGAAACACAAUAUGCCUCUUAAAGUUGAAAUUGAUGCAAAGUUAAAAUAAUGAAGUUUAGAAGUAAAUUAUGUGUUAUGCCACAAACUGACACAUAUGUUUAUAAACUUACGGGUAUUUUCAACUUUUUAUAUUAACCUAUUUAUAUCCUUCAACUGAGAAAAUUGCAGCUAUUGAUACCUCCAUUUAUAAAAUUACAUGCAUUUUACAUGUUUUUCAAUUAUCAAAUAUAAGUUCAUAAGUGCAAAACUUCGUGCAUUUUUUAACAGAAAUUAUUGAAUAGUAUUUUCUGCACUUUUUUAAUCUCCAAGAAGUAUAAUUUGAUAAGUGAAAAUAUUCUGUAAGUGUAAUUUUAAAACUUAAUUCAUAUAAUUUUAUAAGCUGAUAGAUUUGCAAGGUAACAUAUAAAUUAGAGUCCACAGUAGAAUUUUUUUUCCAAAGUUGACGUUUCGAUUUAAGCAUUUGGCCUUUUUAUCUUGUUAUAAUUACUUUCGAUAGAGGUCAUGUGUUUAUCAUAAAUUCUCGAGACAAUAUAGAGCUACCUCCAUUCUUGCAGAAGCGAACUACCUUAUGGUUUCAUUCAUUGCAUUUAAUACAAAAACUAUUCCUGCAUCUUUUAUCAUGCCUAUAAAAGGACCCCCUGAUCAAAUUUUCAGACAACUACCACUGGUCUUGCAACAAACAGAGAUGGCAGCAACGGCAAGGCAGUUUUCUUGCGUGCUUUUUCUUGUUCUUGCAAUUGCUCAUGCAAGUGCAAGAAAUACGCCUAAAGAAACUGCAGGUCUCGAUGAUCAAAAGAAUGUGGUUGUAUUUGGCGGUUUAGGUGGCUUCGCUGGUGUUGGUGGUGGUAUUGGAGGUGGUAUUGGUGGUGGUCUCGGUGGUGGUAUUGGAGGUGGGCUGCCUGAUCUCGGUGGCACAGGCGGUGGGAUUGGUGGAUUAGGUGGUUUGGGAGGAGAUACAGGGAGCGGUGGAGGUCUUGGUGGUGCUAUUGGUGGUGGUGGGAUUGGCGGUGGUCAAGGUGGUUGUGCUGAUGGUGGUGCUGGCUCUAUCCUUAACCCUUGAUUCCAUUUCAUGGGAUUUUUUAUGUUUAGUGUUUCUGUUGCAUGCAGAUGCAGUUAGUACAUGUGUUUAGUUACUUUUCUGUUUUAUUCACUGUUGAUUUUUUUUUCCCUUUUCCUUUUUUUAGUAUUGUUCGCUGUUUUAUUGUUUUGGAAUUUUAUUAGUAAUAUUUGCCAUUUCUUUACUAAAAUAAUUAUCAAAUUACUUUCACAGUUUGUUCUUAAUUAAUUGUGGAUCAUAAAUAAUUUCAAUUUUACAACAAUGUCUUAACUAACAUAAUAAACAAUCUUAAUCUCGUAAGAGUGAAAAUAUAAAUUUAAUAUAGAGCAGCAGAAUUCUAAUAAAGACAAAACUCUUAUGCGCUAUGCUCAAAAGAGAGUUUAUUCACGCAAAAAAUGGUGAAACAACGGCUCCUAUAUAGUUUUACAACUAAAAUGAUUUAAUUUGAUAGUCAAUUCUGAUUAAAGGAUACGGGAUCUUUGCCAUUCCAUAUCACUCUUCAGAGGUAAAUGAUAUGGUUCUUGAAUUGUCUAAUUUUAGCAAGUUCAUUGGAACUACUAGUUAAUUAACAGUCAAUUCUGAUUAGAGAAUUUUAGAGACGUAUUAAUAUUAAGAUAUGUUUUCAAACGGUUUAAUUAAUGGAAAUAUAUUGUAUAUGUUUUCAAGUAAUUUUUACUCCAAAGAUUAAAGGAUCCAAAAUUUUAAAAUCAUAACUUUUAGAAAUAUUUAUUUAAAUAUUACUCAUAACCGGAUGUGAAUUGUUCUAUAUAUAUUAUUAAUUUGUUGUUGAGCUAAAAUGCCCAAUAUUUUAUUAGUUGCAAGAAGGACCGGCAACCCUCUAAUACUUCAAGAAUAAAAAUUUCAAAUACAUCAAAAAUGAAAAUAGUGAAAUAAAAAACAUAAUGAUGUGAUUUUAAAAUAAUAUCUAUUGAUAUAAAAAUAAUUGUUUUAACAUUAGAAUGCAUAUAUUAUUAUUGAUAUAUUUCUGAUAAAUGUAAUUUGAAUUUAAUGGAUGAUACGAUCAUUUUUAUAUUAUAGUAAACCGAGGAGAAGAUCCAUCUCCUACCUUUCCUUUCCUUCCAAUAAUAUACAUAUCAGAAAUGAAUCAGAUUCGUACAUUAAUUAUUAAUACAUUGGCUUGGCUUCCAACUACUUGUCAUUGUUCAAUGCCUGUGAAAUUUAAAACUUCUCUGCUGCUUUCAGACUUUCAGUUGGCAUGUCUUCAUCAUUUUCUUUUUUUUUUUUUCAAAAAAAAAAAUUUUAUUAUUAAAUUUUUUUAUAUAUUAAUUAAAAGUUCUUUGAGCAAGAGCCUAAGAUCGAGGUGUCUCUCAAAAUUUGAAAAUUUUCUAAAAUAUAGUACUAAAAAUAACAAAUAACAGGCUUAGCUUAAUGAAAUGUGAUACCUAUAAUAUAUAAAAUAAAAAAAAAACCAAAUAACAUUUUUUUGGGAAAAAAAAAAGGAAAUUCGAAGGAUACAUAUUAAGGGUUAAAUAAAAAGAUUGGUAAUAAUAAAGUAAUUAGGUUAAUAGACUUUCUUGCUGUAGCUUAUUAUGAAAAAAAAUAAUUGAUAUAAUUGAAUUUUUAAUUUUUUUUUUAAUUCAUUGGAGGUUUUUAUAGGCCGAAAUAAUAUUGCAGGUUACAAAAAGGGGUAGCCCUUUCCUUGACUCACCAAAUUGGUGAAAACAACUAUAGUCGAGAGAAUUCGAACUCGAAAUCAAUCAAAUCACCACCUGAUCGGCACAAUUGAACUUUUAAUUGAAAUAUAUAAUUAACUUGAUUUGAUAUUAUAUGAAGUGUUAUUGCAUGAUAUUAUUAAUUUUUAGAAUCUUAAUUAUUGAAUAUUUAAAUUUGUAGUAUGAGAAAUUAUCAUAUUCACAUAUAUAUUUUAUCUUCCAUUUCUUUGUCUGUGUUACUUGUCGCAGCAGGAAGCACCAAUGCAUGGCUCACAAUCUGCCACUAAUUUUCCCUCUGCUAAAUUAUAAAUGCCAUUAAUUCUGGCUGUUGAUCUCCCCGUAACAUGUACUAAAGAAAAAAAAAAAAAAAAAACUCACUUUACAAGAAAAAAAGGAUUAAUCAUGGAUAUACCAUUUACUUGUAUUUAACUCCAUUUACUGCUUUCAACCAUUCCAUACUGCUUCAUUUGCCGCUCCUUUUGCCUUUAAAAAGGGCUUCACAAAAACACUUUGAGAUAUCCCUAGAGAAACAGAGGAGAGAGACAGAGAAAGAUGGCUAGGUGGUGUCUUAGUGUUAUGGUUGUGCUUGCUUUAGUAGCUGUGCAAACUAGUGCUAGAAACGUUCCUAAAGUUGAAAAUAUGGCUACUACCAAAACUAAUGUGCCUAGUAAUAAUGCUGGUCUAAAUGACCAAAAGAACUUCCUCACCUACGGUGGUGUUGGUGGCUACAGUGGUCUUGGUGGUAAUGGUCUUCCAUUCGGCGGGGUUGGAGGACUUGGUGGAGUCACUGGCCUAGGUGGCACUGCCGGCAUUGGUGGGUUUGGUGGAGUUGGUGGUGGAAGUGGUCUUGGUGGCCUUGGUGGCUUGGGUGGUGGUGUUGGUGGUUUGGGUGGCGUUGGCGGUGGCGGUGGCGUUGGCGGCGGUGUUGGCGGUGGCGUUGGCGGAGGCGUUGGCAGUGGAACUGGCGUUCUUCCUUAUCCAUGAAAAUAUUGAUCUCAUUUCUGGUUUAUAGCCAGGGUUUAUGAAGAACUCUAUUUUUAUGCAUGGUUAUUAAGUUGGUUGUGUUUGAGGGUUUAUGUAAUGGUUUAAUUUUAAUUACUUUAUGUUUUGCUUGUUUAUUAGGGUUAGUUGGGUGUGUCUCUUUACUUUGAGUUCGAGAUUUUCAUUGUCAUGUUUAUGUUUGAGUGGAUCAUAGUUACAGAAACUUGAGUUUAAUUAAUGAGUUCAUGUUUAUUAUAUUGUGUUCGUGUUUAAUUUUUUUUGGUUCAGCUAAUUUUCAUUUUAAGAUACAUUUUGAUAUGAUUAAAAACAAC